rnacentral:lncRNA from 1 species
CCUUUUCUUUCUCUUCUUUUCUUUUUUUUCUUCUUUGUUUUUUCUUGCUUGUUGUUGUUUUUUCUUUCUUUCUUUUUUAUUUUUGCUUGCUUUGCUAGGUGUUGGCGAUGGUGGCGAUGGUGGCGCUGGUGCGACGGCGGAGGUGCUGCUGUUUUGACCUUUUUUUUAUUUUUUUGCUUCUGCUAUUUUUUUUGGUUGCUCCCUUGCUUCUUUUUUUUUAUUUUGUGGGGGGUUUUUAUUUUUUUUGGGGAGAAAGUCCCCUUUUAUGCUUGAUUUUUGCUUCUUUUUGCAGGUGGUAGGGAGGGCCUAGGUCGGCCGCCGCGCGUUGCAGGUGCAACUUGCGUCAGUGGCUGCCAGAGGGACCAAAAUGUAAUGGCAGGAAAACCUUUGGGGCCGAAACGUAAUUUUGAGAAAGUUAAAGGGUUCAAAUGUAAUUUCAAGAAAGUUUAAGGGUCAAAAUGUAAUUUAGAAAAGUUUAGGGGUUGAACUGUAAUUUUAAGAAAGUUUAGGGGUUAAAAUGCAAUUUUAGAAAAGUUUAAGGGUUAAAAUACAAAAAAAUUAAAAAUAAAUUUUUUUUUAAACACGAAAUUAAUCCCGGACAAAAAAAAAUUAAGAAGCAUAGUAAUAGUUAUGUUAUCAACCCAAGUCAUUAUAUUAAGAAAUUUUCAAACAUGUCAAUAUACAACAAAUUAAUACUCCAUAUAUGACUCAUACGUUAAAUUGGUUUAAAGUCGUGACCCAGUAAUUGCACUGGAAGCAUACGUUGAUAACAUUUUCAGUUUGCAAAUAGUUUAUGUACACAAGUAAACUUAGCACAGUUCAUUGAAAAAUAUUUUAUUUUUGAAAGAUACUUUAAUGCAAGUUGAAUAUUUACGUUAGAACGAGUUGUUAUUUUAUUUUAUUUUAUUUGACAACGUAAAAUUAUUAACAUUAUAAAAUAUAUAUAUAUUAAAAAGAAAAUUACUAUUAUCUUAUAAAAAACACUUGGUCGAAAAAAUAAUUAUAUAUAUAACCUAAGCUAAUUCUUUCUUUUCAAUGUUUCUAUGAAACUUUUUACCCACAUAAAUUAAUGCAUUUUAAAAAUUGUUUUUAAAUACUAUAUUAUAGAAAUUACAUAAUAUCACUUAAAGAAUACGACAUGUUAUAUUAUAUUAAUUUUUAUUUUUGAAGUAUAAUCUAAAGUUCAGACAUGAUUUUAUCCUUCGGGGCAAAAAACAACAAAAGAAUAAUAUGAUAUGGCCAUUGUUUUAACAAUCAUUCUCAUUUUCCAAAUUUAACUAUGUUGCUGUCUAUAUGGAUAACACACUCAAAUACUUUUAGAAAAACCCUAAAUUAAACUUAUUUUGCACCACUCAAUUAUUAAUUCACAUUUAACCAUAAAAUAUUUUAGAUGGACACUUCGAGUUUCGGUUUCCACCACACAAAUACCCUUUUAGUACAACUGUUGUUAUUUAAAUUCUUUAAUGUAUGGAAAAUUGACGUUAAAAAAAUAUUUGGUAUACUUAGUUAAAUUUAAAAUUGUUCACAAGGUUGGGUUUAUGAGAAAUAUAUAGAGAGUAUAAUAAAAUUUGAUCAUCCACUUCCAGAGUUUGCCCUUAAAGUUUCAUUAGAUUGUGUAUAUUCAUCAUUUACCAUAUGCGUAUAUAUAUAUAUUCAAGCCUGUAUUUAAGACGGUUGAAGACCAAAUUUGAUUAGCUACUAAUAGUAUUUCACAAAUUGUAGUUUUGAGUUCAUUAAAAUAUGUAAUAUUCUCAAAUUUAUUGUAAUUUACAGGUAAUUUUAAAAUUAUAUAUAUUAUAUAGAAGUUCAUUUGCAUGUAUCAUGCAAGGUUUAGGUCCAAUUUAUCGAGCAACUAGAAAUAAGCUUUUAAAGGAUCAGUCUCCCCUUGGUUAGCCAAUGAUUAUGAGAAAAUCCUUCUUCAAGCCUUGGCAAAAAGGUUGAAAUUGCUUGAGCAUGAACAAAGAUUUUUGUCAUUAUCAGUAGAUCUUAUUCCAGUUUCAUAUCUAUUUUAUGCUCAUUCUUUGGAAGCUGCACAUUAAUGAAUUGAAAUGUGAAGGAAUAAUUUUGAUCCUUUCUUUAUUCAUAUAAGAGAACAAUGCUGCACAACUAAGAGUAUAAUUCUCUUCAUUUUACCAGUAUUUCCGUACUUCGAAAAAUGGCAGACAAGAAGAGAACAUGUUUGAUCGUUUGCCUGUUCAUUGAGUUUGUAAUAUAUAUUGUCAAAUGAGCAUAGUCUAGGCGAUAUUGGCAAUGAGGAUAGGUGUAGGCGAUAUUGGCAAUGAGUGCAUUGGAUUCUUGUUCCAGAUACUUCCUCAGGGUUCAGUCUUUAAUCUAUAAAUUAAUAUGAAACUGAGGUACACUCCCAUGCGUUGUUUUCAUUGUUUAGAAGGUCCUCUAAGGUUCAUUCAGUUCUGGGUUUCAAACAAAAUGGAGAAACCAGACAUGGUUUUUAAUGGACAUGAUGGAUAUGAUGCUGUUGUUGUAGGGUCUGGAUAUGGUGGUUCAGUUGCUGCUUGUAGGUUAUCAAUGGCUGGAGUCAAAGUAUGCCUCGUUGAAAAAGGUCAAAAAUGGGAAGCUGAGGAUUUUCCAACAAAUAGUUUCAACAUCAUAUCAGCUUUGAGGAUGGAGAGUCAAAAUUUGGGUGUCAGCUUUGGACCAAAGGAUGCUUUGUUUCAGGUCAGUCUCAUUUUCAUUGUUAUGAACAUGGCUUUGAAACUUGUAUGAACAAAACUUGUUAUUGAAAUUACAGGUUUAUGAACAAAAUGAUUCACUGGCAGCAAUGGCUUGUGGAGUUGGUGGAGGGUCACUAGUGAAUGCAGGAGUUAUGGUGCCAACCCCAGUUCGAACUCGAAGAAGUUCAAAAUGGCCAAAGGAAUGGGAAACUGAUUGGGAUAGCUGUGAAGCUUCUGCUGCUACAAUGAUGAGAAUACAAAGUGUUCCCCUCCAGUUCCCCAUUGCCAAAAUCAUGAAACAAAUCGAUGUGGGAGAGGUUGAACAUAUGGUUCAGGAUUCUAUUAAACUAAGCAUGAAUUUUGAUAUUGAAGACUCUUCAUCUAGAUUACCUAAGCAUCAAAAUAUGGAUACAUGCAUAGGCUGUGGAAACUGUCUAGCUGGAUGUCCUUAUAAUGCCAAGAAUUCUACUGACAAAAACUAUCUUGCAUCAGCAAUUCAGGCAUGUGCUCUUCAACUUGGGAUAUUGGAAGAAUCAGAUUAAUAUAGGUCAACAUCAUGUCAAAAUGUACACAUAUUCUUGUUCAUUUUAUCUAAAAUUAGAACUUGUUGUGAUGCAGGCAGGAUGUGUUGUUAAAACAGGGUGUCAAGUUCAUUAUGUAGUUAAAAAAUCAUAUGAAACUGACCAAAAUGGUGAAAUUGGUGGAAAAAGAAGGUGGCUUGUUUACUUGAAUGAUAUGGACUAUAUAAAAGCUGAUUUUGUGAUCUUGUCAGGUAUCAAUCAAUGGUGAAAUUAUUAGAUAUACAUCCAAAAUUUUUGUUUUCAAAAUCUUCUAAAAGCUUAAAUUUUAUGUUCCACAGCUGGAGUGUUUGGCACAACUGCAAUACUUUUCAACUCACAAAUGAGAGGAUUAAAGAUCUCAAAAGCACUUGGUUCUGGUUUCAGCUGUAAUGGAAAUACUGUUGCUUAUCUUUGUGGAAGCAAUGGACCUUUGAAUGGUUAUGGACUAGACAAAAAGCAACUGUCAAAGAUACCUAUUCAAGCACGGCCGGGACCAUCCAUCUCAUCAUCUUACUCUUCUUCAUUGGGUUUUACAAUCCAGGUUCGAGUACUAAAUAGCUUCGACUCUUCAUUUUUAAGUAUUCGUAUUCAACUCAUAUACAUUGACACCAACCAUUAUUCUCAAAAGGCCUUAAAUGGCAAAUUAUGGAGUUGUUGCAUUGACUUUGUAUUCAUUCAUUGACCUUCUUUUCUUUUUGGUGCAGAGUGCUGUACUUCCUACAGCUUAUCCUUACCUGUUGUUUAAAGGGAUUACAACAUUUGGAUGGCCAACUGGUUACUGGUUUUUUCAUGGCAUUAUUGACAAGCUGAAACAUCUGAUAGGUUCUAAGUCCAGCCAAGCAAUGGUGCUCCUUGCUAUGGGACAUGACAAGAGUGAUGGAAAAAUCAUAUUAGAUAAGGAAACAAAUAAAAUUAUCUUCAGUCCUCCCCAUGAUCCUUUACUUCCCCAAAAAGUUAAGGCCUUUCAGAAGAUCACUAGGAAAUUAGGUGGAAUUCUAUUCAUGUCAAGGUUCCGAAGCGCAUCGGUACAUCUUUUAGGUGGUUGCAAUGCAUCAUCAGAUUCUUCAGAUGGUGUCUGUGAUCCAAAUGGUCAGGUUUUUGAUCCAGAGGUCCCUGGUCUUGUCCACCAAGGUCUCUAUGUUUGUGAUGCUUCACUAAUUCCAUGUUCUGUUGGUGUAAAUCCAUGCCUUACGAUCGCAGCAGCCGCUGAGCAUGUAUGUAAGGACUUAGUGAAUAAUGUUCUCAAGUACAAAACCAAAACUUGUACAAAUUCUGUUUCUAAAGUGGUUGAUCAAAAUCCACCUAUUGAAACACAUGAUACUUUAAAGAGCAGCGAGACAUCAUAUGUGUCAGUCAAAGAAACCUUGAGAGGUUAUAUAGGAGGUAUGCCAUGCACUGCUACUCUCAGAAUGAAGAUAAACUUGCAGAACUCGAACGAUUUUGAUGAUUGGAAUUAUUCGAUUAUGCGAAAAUCUCUUCUAACUUUGAAAGGGAAAGUCGGCGGUUAUGUCGUUUUUCGAGCCAUUGAAAAGGAUAAGUUGCAUGUUAUUGAUGGUGAAGUAAAAAUGUUUGAAGUAAAUUACAGAACACCGUAUACACAAUAUAUGCACUAUCGUCUUCUCCUUGCAGCUGCUUCGGGUUCAAGGUACAAUAAAGCAUCUAUUUUCAGUCCUUUUUAACUAUCUCGCUCUUUUUUACUACAAAACUUAUAACAUUAAUCAAAUGCAGAUAUGUUCUUGAGGGAAAGAAGAUAAUGAAUCCUUAUCUAUUUGCAAUAUUUUCUCGGAAGGAGACAACAACGUUGUAUGUAACAUUCAAAAGGGUUUCUGGAAACUUUGCUGAGGAUCAUCAUGUAGGAUUGAACUUAAAAGGAAAGCUUAAAGUUUCCAUGAUUCAGCUACUUAAAACACUGUUGAGCCUUGAAGGAAAUGGAAAAGGAAGAUUUCUUCAUCUUUUCUUAUUACAUCUCCUUAGAACUUACAUAUUACAAAUACCACAAGGAAUUCAUAAAGAGUAUACCCCCACAGAUUCUUACAACAAUUCAUAUCCAAUCAGCACUUUCCAUGAAUUAGAAACAGGUAUACAUGAACUAGGACUGAAUUCUUUGUUAAAGAUCUUCUGAAGUUAAAGCUGAAUCUUUGUAUAUGAUGCAGGAGAUGGAUGUAUCAUAAGCUGUAGGCGGUGGAACUGCGGUCAUAGUAGGUUGAAGUUCAAUGAGGAAAAGCAUCCAGUUCUUCUACUUAAUGGACAUUCAACUGAGAGUUUCUGUCUGCCAACUGAACCAAAUGAUUUAAUCAGGACUUUAUUGACAGAAGGGCAUGAAAUAUGGUUACUCCAACCAAGAUUGCAUCCAUUGAAUCCCUCAAACAACUUCACCAUUGAAGAUCUUGGAAGAUAUGACAUACCUGCUGGUAACAAAAGUUAUAAAAAAGUAGCAAUGCUUACACUUUUGAGUGGUAAUUAACUUACGUUUCAUCUACUUAUUUUGUUGUAGUAAUCAGCAAGAUCUGUGAAUUUCAUGGUCCAAGCAUGAAGGUACAUGUAGUUGCACAUUGUGUUGGAGGCUUAGCCAUUCAUAUAGCUGUUAUGGGAGGACAUGUCUCUCCAACUCGAAUUGCUUCUUUGUGUUGCACCAACUCUUCAAUGUUCUUCAAACUUAGUACUUUAGCCACAGUCAAGAUGUGGCUUCCUUUGGUGUCUGUAAGUUUUCCUUUACAACAAAAACUAUAUGGUUUAACACAAUUUGAUGUCAACUUGAUAUUGCUUUAGCUUAAUCAACCUGCAGAUAUCAAUGGCUUUGCUAGGCAAGAACAAAACCCUGACUCUCUUAGACACAUCAAAGGCCAGUUUGAGACACCGGCUCCUAAUGUAUAUAGCUCGUUGGAUACCUCGAUACGAGAGAUGUACUUGCAAUGAAUGUGAAGUCUUUUCUGGCAUAUUUGGCAAUACAUUCUGGCAUCAAAACUUGACCCCAACAAUGCACCAUUGGUUAAACAAGCAAAGUACAACAAAGCUUCCAAUGGCAGCCUUUCCUCACUUAAGGAAAAUCUGCAAAUCCGGAUUCAUUGUCGAUAGCAAAGGAAACAACUCAUAUUUGAUUCAUCCAGAGAGAAUGGCCGUGUCGACAUUAUACAUCUCCGGGGGACGAAGUCUUUUGGUGACUCCAGAGACUACCUUUUUAGCUAAUAAGUAUGUGAAGUUGCACCAACCUGGUUUUAGACAUGAAAGGGUUGUUGUGGAUGGUUUUGGACAUUCAGAUUUAUUGAUUGGUGAAGAGUCUUGUAAAGAAGUUUUCCCAUACAUCGUAUCUCACAUAAGGUUAUGUGAAGAAGGGAAAGAUAUAGUAAUGAUUAACAAGGAAAAGAAAGACGGUAAAGAAGCCUUGGAUUGGGCUGCUGAUCCUUACCGUGGUUAUGGAGGAUCUGAAAGUUGUUUGUUUUCACCUUUGCUAGUCUUGUUCUUGGUUUUAUUAUUAGUUUUCAUGGUAUCAUCAUUCAGUACUGUGUUAAAAAGACAUUAAUAAGAAUAAAAAUUUGCCAGAGUAUUAACAAUAAGAUAGUUUGGCCAAGUGGUCUAAGGCGCCAUUUUUGGCUCUGGUCCGAAAGGGAGCUGUCAUUUUGCACUGCUUUGCAACUAGUGGCUUUUGGGGUUUUUUUUGGCACUGCUUUGCAACCAGGUGGCUGAACUUCUUGUCCUUUGGUGGCUUAACCUGCUUGGCCCUGCUUUGCAACUAGGUGGCUAAACUUCUCGUCCUGUGAUGAGCCUUUGUUGGCUUAACCUGCUUGGCAACUAGUGGCUAAACUUCAAUGAAAGAACUGCAGUUUCAUUGGAAGUCUGCUCCAAAGCUGCUCUACCAAGAACUAAAGCAUCCUCUGCAACACUGGUGCUGUCAUAUAUUUAAGUUGAGCUUUUUAGAAGUUCUGGAACAGUUUUUAAUGGCGGCAUGGUGUCGAAUAAGUCCACCAGUUCUGGCCAGCAAUGCUCUGAGUUGGUUUUGGAGACAACAACACUCAUAGUAUAUGAAACAGAAGGCUUACCAGUACGGUAGAAAAGGAAUUGAAAGGGUAAGUGUCUAAGCUUGUGUAACAGGGCAGAUAAUCUCCCGUUAAAUAGCUUUUCUUUUUGUGAAGAUUAGAAUUGGUGCAAAUUCUAUGUUUUUUGUCAAAAAAGAAGCUUUUGAAUAGAGAUCAUGGAUGGUCAAUAACCUAUUGCUUUUGCAGUACCUCAUAUUUGGUUGUCAUUUUAUACAGUUUCUCAACUUCAAAUCAAAGUACGUUAGACAUUGUCAAAUUUUCAAGAGCAUAUUCUAAUAAUUUUCUACAAUUUAUAAUGGUUAUUUUUCAUUAAUGGAUUUCUUGGGAAUUUUAUAAUGGGAUUAUGUUAUGAUGAUAAGUGCAGAAACUUUUUGAGAAAGCUAAAACAACUCGAUAUCAAAAGAUUAAAUACUAUAACUCUUUAAAGCUCAAAAUUAUAGAAGUGUCAUACAUAAAACCCUAUAAAAUAAUGGCUUAAAGAAGGAAUCAUAUUGCGCAAUAUAAGGUAUCAUAUUCCCUUCUCUUCAAUGGCAAGCAGCUUUGCAAUGAGAUCAUCCAUAGAGCUGUUGAAAGCUGUCAACUUCUUUGCUAUUGCAGUGUUGCCUAUGAUCCAAAGAGAGUGCUACUGCCUAUUGUUAUAAGAAGAACAUGGAAAAAUCCCCCUGCAAAUUGGUAUAAACUUAACUCCGAAGGUUCAUCCAUUGAAAACCCCAAGUGUCGGUGGAGCUGGGUUCUUAUUAGAGAGGAUGAAGGAACUGGGUUACUGGUUGCUUCAGGCACAUCCCACACAUUACUAGCAUCAAAGCAGCUUUGGGGCACGUAGAGAUGGUUUAAACCUUGCUGUCUCCCUUUACAUUAAAUCUUGUGGUGGAACUUGAUGCCAUGGCAGUCAGUAGCUUCAUUCAGCACAUGGUCAAGUAUGAGUAAGCUGAGGUUGUUAGGCUGUUGAUCAAGAAGUUAAUUAGUUGUUAGCUGGUUAAUAAUCAGUUGUACAGUUGUACUUCAACUGUAAAUACGUGUAUUGAUGCUAGUCAGGAAUAAGACUAAUACCAUUCUAUUUUCUCUAGUUUGUUUUCUUCUUCAGUUGCAUUUGUUCAUACCUUUUGAGUCUUUCAAGCAUGGUAUCAGAGCUAGCCUAACUUGUACACAAAAGUAAGAUGACAUAUCAGCUAUUACAUUAAUUCAAAUCAAACAACAUAUCCUACUAACUUUGCUAUCAAAUUACAUGGGAACUAGACAAGGUUACAUAGGAACAAAUUAAUCAAAAUAUGUUGUUGCAUUCGGAUCAGCUCUAUUUCUGCACUUCAAACAGUGUUGCUACUGGUGUUGUGAUGAAUUGCUACUAGUCUUCUGUUGCAAUGCAGGCCAAAGAUUAACAGGUUAGCUAUGUCUGGAGUUGGUUUGGAAGGAAACAUUCAUAGUCUCCGAAACAAAAGACUUCCCAAUUGUUCAUUUUAGAAACAAAAAGAAGGCGAAAACAAAUGAAGUUGAAGAUUACUUUGAACUAAAUAGCUUUUUUUUUAUUUAAGACAAAUAUUUGAGGUGAAAAUUCCAUGGUUUCCCAAAAAAGAGCUUUUGAAUAGAGAUCAUUGAUGGUCACUAUGUUGAAAUAUGUGAAACCCAUAUAUUUUGGUAUAUAUUUUGGGAUAUAUUUUAAAGUUAUUUAGGUAGAUAAAUCUUAUUUAGGUAGAUAAAUCUUAGAAUAAAUCAUUUGAGAUAUUCUAAGAAUAUUUUAUUUUAUCAUUUAGUAGUUUAUUAGAAUAAGGAAAUUAUUUUCCGUAUCUUUUAGUAGUUUAUUAGAAUAAGGGAAUUAUUUUUCUAAUUAGGUUAUUUCUCUAUUUAAAUUCAAUUGUUUAGUUAAUAAAAUAUAGAGCAGUUUUAUUAAAUGCUCUCUUGAAAACUUUCAUAGUAUCAGAGCUAGGUUAUCUCUAGUAGCAUCAUGGUUAAAACAGCUUUCAUUGGAGAUAAGAGAUCCAACAAUCAAACAGAGGAAGAAAGUUUUACCGUUGAAACAACUAAUGAAAAUUAUGAGGGCCAAAGUUCUCUAGAAGGGUCUCCAUUUACUAAGGAACAACUAGAGCAUCUAUACAAGCUUUUUCAAUCACCACAAUUUCAGAUGAAUUUUUAUCUUCCUAACUCAUCCAAUAAUCCUUCUUCCUCCUUUGCCCAAUCAGGUACUGAUUUUUCUAUUUUUUUCAGUGCCAAGCCUUGUAAAACAAACACGUGGAUCGUUGAUUCUAGAGCUAGUGAUCACAUGACUAGUAGUCAUUUUCUUUUUUCAAAUUACACACAUUGUGCAGGAAAAAAAUCAAAGUAGCAGAUAGGUCAUUCUCGGCAAUAGCCAGGAAAUACACUGUUAAAAUUUUGCCUUCCUUGGUUUUACAUGAUGUUUCACAUGUGUCAAAUCUAGCUUGUAAUCUCAUACCGAUCAGUAAAUUAUCCCAAUCCUCGAAUUGUCAUGUUAUAUUUGACUCCUCUAUGUGUAAAUUUCAGGACAUAGUCUCGGGUAGGAUGAUUGGCAAUGCUAAAGAAUCUGGUGGAAUUUACUUUCUUGACGACGACCAUCUAAGUCAACCAACAACUACUUUAUGUUUAAAUUCUGCUUCUAGUUUUGAUAAGGUUAUGAUUUGGCAUUAUAGGCUUGGACACUUUAAUUUUUACUAUUUAAGAUAUUUGUUACCUGGUCUAUUUAAAAAUAAAAGUCCUUCUUCAUAUCACUGUGAAUUUUGUGAAUUGGCUAAACAUCUUCGGUCAUUCUUCCCACCUCAAAAUUAUAAAGCUUCUAAACCUUUUUCGUUAAUUCAUAGUGAUGUUUGGGGACCUUCAAGAGUCCUAACUUUUUCAGGAAAAUGUUGGUUUGUCACAUUUAUUGAUGAUCAUACUCGUAUUUGUUGGGUGUUUUUAUUAAAAGAUAAGUCUGUAGUUAAAAAUGUGUUUCAAUCUUUUUAUGCUAUGGUGAAAACACAAUUUGGUGUGAGAAUAGAAGUACUUCGGAGUGACAAUGGUGGGAAUUUUUUAGUGACCAAUUAGGUGUUUUCUUAACCAAACAUGGUAUAAUCCAGGAAAGCUCUUGUACAAAUACACAACAACAAAAUGGGGUUGCAGAAAGAAAAAACUAACAUCUUUUGGAAGUAACUAGAGCCUUGAUGUUCACUAGUCAGGUACCACAUUAUCUUUGGGGUGAAGCCUUGUUAACAGCUACAUAUCUUAUUAAUAGAAUGCCUAGUAAAACUCUAAACUAUAGCUCCUUUCAGUCUCUUUAAAGAUAACUUUCCUAACUCUAAAUUGAUCACAGAUUUAUCCCUUCGAGUUUUUGGGUGUAGUGUUUUUGUUCAUCUUCACAACCAAGGUAAACUAGAUCCUAGAGCAAAAAAAAUGCGUCUUUGUUGGCUAUGCUUCUAAUAAAAAGGUUUAGAAAUGUUACGAUCCAAUUGAUAGGAAGAUUAUUAUUACCAUAGAUGUCACAUUUGUUGAAACGCAAUCUUACUUUGAUUCUAAUAUUCAGGGAGGGAAUUAUAGUAAGGAAGAUUCUAUAAUUGAUCAAGAAAACACUAGGAAUAUACAACAUAGGGAUUCUAAUAAUGGGGAAGGUGAAUUUAUGAUUAACGCAGAAAUUAAUGAUGUUAAUUUUGUUAAUGAAAAGGAGUAUGAAGGUGUAGAGUCUGAUCAUGAGAAUAAAGAACAAACAAAUGAGUUAAUUGUUUACUCAAGAAGAAAUCGAAAUCAAGAAAGUGGAAUCCACUAGAUUCAUCACCAAGAAUCCGACCCGCAAGAUCUUGUUAAAAGUUUAGGUAAAGCUCAUAAUCCAACCAAUGAAUUUUCUGAUUUAGAUAUUCCAAUUGCUAAAAGAAAAGGUGUUAUAAAUGUUGUCAAAUAUCUCAUGUCUAACUUUGUGUCUUAUAAAGCCUUAUCUUCAACAUUCUCAACCUUUGUUUCGUGUCUUGAUACUGUGAAAAUACCCAAAAAUGUAAAAAAUGCUUUACAAGUUCCUGAGUGGAAGGAGGCUAUUUUAAAGGAGAUGUGCGCUCUUGAAAAAAUAGGUACAUGGGAAAUAGUGAAAUUACCUGUAGGGAAGAAAACUGUGGGCUGUAAAUGGGUGUUCACAACCAAAUUCAAACCGGAUGGAUCUUUAGAUAGAUACAAAGCCCAACUAGUGGCUAAAGGGUACACUCAAACAUACGGGAUAGAUUAUCUUGAAACAUUUGCUCCAGUAGCCAAAUUAAAUUCAGUUAGAGUUCUUUUAUCAAUUGUUGUUAAUCUUGAUUGGUCCUUUCAGCAGCUAGAUGUGAAGAGUGCUUUCCUAAAUGGGAAACUUGAAGAAGAAGUUUACAUGGAUCCUCCUCCAGGUUUUAAAGAAAAAUUUAGAACUCGAGUAUGUAAGCUCAGGAAAUCUUUGUAUGGUCUAAAGCAGUCUCCCCGAGCUUGGUUUGAACGGUUCACUCGAGUUGUUAAAAAACAAGGUUACUUACAAGGGCAAACUGAUCACACAAUGUUCUAUCGACACUCACAAAGAGGUAGAAUAGCAAUUAUUAUAGUUUAUGUUGAUGAUAUCAUUCUUACAAGAGAUGAUGUGGAUGAAAUAAGGCGUCUCAAGGAGCAUCUAGCAUUGGAGUUUGAGAUCAAAGACUUGGGUCCUUUGAAAUACUUUCUUGGAAUGGAAGUUGUUCAAUCAAAGAAGGGUCCUGUGGUCUCUCAGAAAAAAUAUGUGAUUGAUCUUUUAAAAGAGGCUGGGAUGAGUGGUUUCCGCCCAACUGACACAUCAAUUGAUCCAAAUGUAAAAUUCAGAAAUAAAGAAGGUCAAUUAGUUGAUAAAGGGCAGUACCAAAGAUUAGUCGGUAAGUUAAUUUACUUAUCACAUACAAGGCCAGACAUAGCUUUUGCAGUGAGCUUAGUGAGUCAAUUUAUGCACUCCCCAAUGGAGGAACAUAAAGAAGUAGUGUUUCGGAUUCUGAGAUACUUGAAGAGUUCACCUGGAAAGGGCUUAUUCUUCAAGAAAUCCGAACAAACAGAUAGAAGAUCUACAUCAAGAUACUGUACAUUUGUUUGGGGAAACCUUGUGACUUGGUGAAGCAAAAAACAAAAUGUUGUAGCAAGAAGUAGUGCAGAGGCUGAGUUUAGAUCAAUGGCUCAAGGAAUUUGUGAAAUGAUGUGGUUAAAAAGAAUUAUGGAAGAGCUGAGGAAACCAAUAACUUCACCAACAAAGUUGUACUGUGAUAGCAAAACUGUCAUUAGUAUUGCUCACAACCCAGUCCAGCAUGACAUAACUAAACAUGUUGAGAUUGAUAGACACUUUAUCAAGGAGAAAAUUGAAGAAGGCCAAGUGUGCAUAACAAAACAACAGAUUACUGACAUACUCACCAAAGGGCUCUCUAAGACAAGCUUUGAUUUUCUUGUAAGCAAGUUUCCUUAUCUUUUAGUAGUUUAUUAGAAUAAAAAAUUAUUUUCCCAAUUAAGUUAUAACUCUUUUCUCUAUUUAAAUUCAGUUAUUUAGUUAAUAAAAUAUAAAACAGCUUUAUUAAAUGCUCUCUUAAAAACUCACAUUAACCAUUGCUUUUGCAGUAGGCAGUGUUUGGAUGUAUUGAUAUCAUCAUCCACAUUUUGUCAACUUCAAAAUAAAUUAUAUAAGACUGUCAAAUUUUCAACUCUUGUUUAUGGGUAGCGAACACUUGACAUUUAUAUUAAAAAAACUGUAAAAUAAUGGCCUAAAGAAAGUAUCUAAUAACAAAGUACAUUUUCUCAGCAACUGUUAGAUACUUCAUUAUUUCUCAACCCUAAACCUAAUCUGCCAUAUAUGUCAUCCUUGCCUGAAUGUUUCAAUUGUUCAUCUGAUCAGGCUUUGCCAUACUCCAAGCUUCAACAUCUGCAGUGAUUGUCUCAGUCCCAUUGUUGAAGACAAACAAGUGAGCAUCAUCAAACACUGCUACCAAUGGAUAUACUCUCGAAGUGAUGCAUGUUUUUCCCCCGGCCCCGAAACUCUCCACCACCGAGUAAUCAAUCUGCAGAGAACAGAAAAACUGAGAGAGUGAGAGAAAGAAGAAAUAUUAUAAGGACAAGUUUAGCCAUAGAAAGUCUAUGGGUGAGCAUAGUCUAGGUGAGCGGUCCUGAAAUUAGAACCCCUUAUCAUCCAUGUAGGGUUGGUUCUAAAUGUUUUAAACCAUGGGUUGACUUAGAUUUCUAAGACAGUUUAGGACCAACUCUAUGGUCAUAAAUGGUUUAGCGUCAACCCUAGAAGAAACAAAAGUUAUUUGAAGGGCAUGUAUGUACCAAAGUCCUAAGUGAAAUCUUAUAUGUAUCAUCCAAAUCUACAUCUACAAAUCCUGCAAAAGAUGGUUUGUAUAGCCCCUCUUUCCUCAAGGAUGAACUGCCACAAUGUAACACAAAAUUGAUCAAAAUAUAUCUAAAAGUUUGAUAUAAGAAAAAAGAAAUAUUGAUUUGCAAAGGCAAAACAAACCUCCCAGAAUCUGAGCAUAAGAGAACAACAUGCUUGUAUAGACCUGUAAAUACCCUGAAAAAAACAGGGGUAUAUUCUUCUAACUUUUCUGAAGCUAAUGUUAGGAGCCCAAACGAUCCAACGCCACCUUGAACAGUUGAACCCUUAAGGCCACAGAGAUCCUGAGCAUUGGUCCAGCUAGGAUCAAACGGUUCAGCUUUGUCCAAGUUAGGUAUGGAGAAGGUAAUGUCAACAUCAGCCUAUGAAGAUCAUCAAACCAGUGAAACUCAUGUUCAAAACUUGGUUUAAUUCAAAUCAAUUAAUUAAAAAGAAAAAAAGGGUUUCAAUCUAAAGAAGCACACCUGAGCAGCAGUAAUUCCUUUGACUUCAAUAUGUUCUCCCGACUUGAGUUCUUGAUUGCUCAAUUGAACAUUUUGGCCUCUAAGAGUCUCUAUUUCUUCAAUAGGCCAUUGCAGCAACUGCUUCCCACUAGGAUCAAGCCACACCUUCCUUGGAAUUGCCUGAGAAAGCGCCAUGAAAGUUACUUAACAAAGUAUCAUAAAAUCAAAACAUUAUCAUACAAAUCAAUCAACAACAUUACCUGAAGACCAGCCCAUCCUUUCUGAACAUCAUCUUUAGCAGUAUCCGAUUCAUUGGUCCAACCCCAUAAAAUCCUCCUAUUCUUUGAAGGGUCAAAAAAUGUCUUUGAAGCAUAAAAAUUCCCGUAGUCAAAUCUAAGCCCAUUCCAACCAUCAACAAACCCCUUACCAACCACAUAUUUAUCCCUUGCUUCUGGGAAAUACGAACCUAUAUUAUAAUACUCAUACCUUGUAAGAUCUAAGCUUACCUUCAAAACAUGCUUAACAUUAGGGCCAAAAGCAGAGUUGUCAAGGCCAGUGUCCCCAGACAAUGACACUGGGAAAAAAUCUGCACAUUCAAACAUGCCAGUAUUGGGCACCGAAUGUAAAGGAUGUUUGGCCUUUACCCAUUUCCUGAAAUCCCUACUUCUAUACAAAUAAGCAAUCCCUCUCUGUUCCUUCGGCUAGCCACCACCAUUCUCCAAUGCCCACCGAUCUUCCAAGCAGUUGUUGGGUCACGGAAAGCGGUUUUAUUCAUGGUUUCAUCGGCAACCACGAUAGGGUUGUCAGCCGGUUUGACCCAUUUACGCAAAUAAGGGUCAGAUAAGUUCUCUGGAACAGCAUAGUUUUGCACUUGAUAUUGAUUAGGAUCAAUCCCUGUGUAGAAAAUUACAGGCUUAUUUUCCGGAAGAACCGUAGCGGAUCCUGACCAACACCCGUUGAUAUCAAAAGAUUCUGAAGGAUAAAUUGCAGGCUCGAGAGCUUCCCAAUUGACCAUGUCUUUGGAUACUGAAUGAGCCCAAACUAUGUUGCCCCAAACUGCACCUUUGGGGUUGUAUUGAUAGAAUAAAUGGUAAAUCCCAUUGUAAUACAUAGGACCUGUUUGAUAAAAUGCGUGUGAGAAUAACAUAAACAAUUACAACUUUCUAAAAAAUGGGGUUAAAAUGAAAAAGAAUCAUAGUUAAAAGGAGUGUAUGAAAAUUGAAAUUUGCAGUGCUUUUUUAAAAAAAAAAAGACUUACCAUUUGGAUCUGUCGCCACGGCGUUUAUCGAUUAAGCAAUCCCCCAUUGAACAAUGCCAAAACAAUUUGAAAAGUUAGAGUAUAUAUAUGGAAUAAAAGGCGGCAUCACGUGUUAAACUAAUUUAAUUAUUAUUUAAAAAUUUAUAUAAAUAAAAUAAACAGAAUAAUUUAUUUAGCCCUCUAUCUUUACGAAAAAAUCAUUAUAACCUUCAUUUAAUUUUUAUCUUUUUUUUAAUUUUUAAACUUGUAUUAUUUAUCAAACCAGUCCAAAAUAAAUGGGAAAAGUUAAUCUUUAUUAACUUUACUAAACAUAGAUACCACAUUAGUAUUUAAUUAAUUUUUAAAAUAAAAAAACUAAUAUAAUUUUUUUUUCACAAAAUUAGAAGGCCAAAUAAAUUUUAUGUUAACAAAACGAAAGCUAAUAAAAACAAAGCAAUAUAUAUAUAUAUAUAUAUAUAUAUAUAUAUAUAUAUUAGUGGCGAAGCCAAGGCCCUGAAAUGAAAAAAAUUGUCACCUAAGCGUUUUUAUAACUUAUAAACUUUUAAAUUAAUAAUGGUAAAAUUUCAUGUUAACCCCCUAAAAAUGAUAAAAAUUUUAUUUAAUCAUUUAAAAAUUAUAAAAAUAUAAUUAAAAUGGUGAAAUUAUAUUUUUCAAUGUCCUGAAAACAUACAAUUUAAUUCCAUCUCCUCCAAAAAAAUAAAAAUAAAAAAAACAUUACCGUUAAUCCAGUUUUAGAUUGUAAAUGUGGAUAAACCUUAUGAAAUGCUUCAACGACGCCAAUCUUACUUAUUAUCUCACAAAAACACCCAANNNNNNNNNNNNNNNNNNNNNNNNNNNNNNNNNNNNNNNNNNNNNNNNNNNNNNNNNNNNNNNNNNNNNNNNNNNNNNNNNNNNGACUGAAAUUUAACAAUUUCAAAAUAUAUAUAAUUUUUUUAAAUGUUUAGAUAAGAUAGAUUUUUAUUUGAAUUUACCAGUAAUUUAUAAUAUCAACAUUAAAUCUACAAUUCUUGAUUUUCGUUUUUUUCUUUUUUUAAAUAACUGAAUUUUAAACGUAAUUAGUGAUAAACUGGUUUACUCAUGCAAAGCUAGUGUAACAAAUUAUAUAAUUUUAUAACUUAAUUAGUAUAUUAUCCUAUAUAUAGAAAUACAUUAUCUUUACAUAAUCAGAUAUAAGAUUUUUCAAGAUUGUAUUAAGAAUUUUAAUUCAUCUAGUUAAAGAUCUCGAUUUUGAAAUUGAGCAAAUUGGUCCCUCUCAAAAAUAUUAGAGUAAUUUAAUUUGUAUUAAUUUCAAAAGUAAACAACUAAAGAUAAUUAAGUACGGUGUUAAUGUCUUCCGUCAAUUGUACAUAAUUUUGAUUGGUAUAGCAACAAAUUGAACCUUCGAUGUUUACAUAUUUUGUCAUGUUAACCUCAAUUCUAAUAAAUUCAACAUCAACAUUUACACAAAUGUUGCAGGACGGAUUUGUUAAAUUAUGACCAAUUUGAUAAAAUUUAUAAACUUUGAGAGCUAAAAUUAUUAUUAUAUCAAUCAAAAUCAUAUACAAUUGAUAGAAACAUUAUCGUUGUGAUUAAUUGUCUUUAAUUGCUUACUUUCGAAAUUGAUAUAGAUUAAAUUGUUUUUAUUUUUUUGAGAGGGACUGGAGAGGUCUUUUUACCAUUCAUCUACUUUUCGGAUUUAAAAAUGAAAACUUAAUUAUUAACACCAUUAAAAUUCUUUGGUUAAAGUCGAUUGAGUCUUAGCUCAACUGACAUCGAUAUUAUUGUUAAUGCAAAAGGACGUAGAUUCGAGUGCCUUGAAAUGCAUUGUCCCUUUUAGAGGAGCUAUAUAUAUCAAAAACAAUGACUAAGAAUUGUAGCUAUAGGUACAAAAACAACCUGCCAAUAUAUCAAGUAAACCAAUUACCACUAGUCUCCUCAUUGAAGUGGUGAAACUGGUUCGCAUCUCGGACGAUGAUCGACCACUUUUUGUAAUAGCCGAUCUGGGUGUCAACGAUCAUGUGAUUUGUUGAUAAGAUAUUGAUGUUUUAGUUUCGUAAACCUUAAAAGAAACCCGGGAUUAGUCUGAAUUCUAUCAUUUACAAUGUCCUCGAAAACCCGAGACUGCCUGGUAGGAAGAAAACUAUCCUGCCAAUUACCAGUAGUCUCCACACGAACAAGCCCCCUCAAUGAAGUGGUGAAACCGAUUCGAAUCUCGGACGAUAAUCGACCUCUUUGUAAUAGCUGAUACGAACUUUAUAAACGUGUGGCAGUCACCGCAAACUCUAAGAUUCUUUGUGAUCCUGAUAGGAGUUCCCUCAGGUGUGGCAAUAAGACCAAACGUAAUAGCCAGUUUUUCACUGUGUGUAUACAACAUUCCAACCUUAACUUCCUCAUCAACAUCGUGUAACACGAAGUUUGUGUCCGGAACAUAACCAGCUAGCUCCAAUUUCUCGAUCAGACUUUUCAGCAAUCCAUAAAUCUCCUUAGACAGAGGAUGAGACUUGUCCCCAACACUAAACUGAUGAAUCUUGUUGUCAACCUCGAUCCAGGUCCAACCCGGGAUCUUUUUCAAGUUCCCUUUUGUCAUUAAGUUCCUAACUUUUGCCAUAUCUUCCCACAUACCGGCAUUUGCAUAAACGUUGGAGAGUAACACAUAGUGACCCGGAUUUUGUGGCUGCAGUUCGAGAAGUGAUUUUGCAGCCCAUUCAGCCAACUCUACAUGUUUAUGGAUUCUACAUGCUGCAAGAAAAGCACUCCAUAGCCCUUCAUCUUUCUCAACUGUCAUGUUCUCUAUUAACUUCAAGGCUUCAUCAAGUCUCCCGGCUCGACCUAACAGAUCAACCAUGCAAGUACAAUGCUUCACAUCUGGUUUCACACCAUAUUUGUCCCACAUAAUGUUGAAAAGCUCAAAACCUUCAUCAACCAAACCAGCAUGACUACAAGCAUAUAAAAGUGAAACAAAAGUUAUCCUAUUUGGCAUUAUCCCACAAUUCAACAUCAUAGGAAACAAAUCAAGUGCUUUCUUGCCUUGACCAUGAUAUCCAUAAGCAGCAAUCAUCACACUCCAUGAUAUUACAUUCUUCUCUCGCAUCCCAUCAAAUAUUUCUCUCGCAAAAUCAACACUACCACAUUUUGCAUACAUAUCAAUCAUUGCAGUACCCAAUAUUACAGUCAAACUAAACUUCAUUGAACAUAUAUAAUCAUGAACAAAUCUAGCCUUAUGCAUGGCACCCAAUUUUGAACAAGCGUUAACCACAGUCACCAUUGUAAUCUUAUCAGGAACAAUGCCUUCCUCUCUCAUCCAAUCAAACAAAACCAACGAUUCGUUAGCAUUCCCACACUCGGCAUACCCAUCUAUCAUAACAGUCCAAGUAACAAGGUCUUUCUUAUGCAUAUCAUCAAACAGUUUACGAGCAUCAUCAAUAACCCUACAUUUUGCAUACAUAUCAACAAGUGCUGCACAAACAAAGUGAUCCCAAGACAACCCAGAUUUCAAAACAACACCAUGAACCAAACUACCCAUUAACAAAUCCAUCCUAUCCCUACAAACUCUCAAAACAAAAGGCAAAGUAUAAUUAUCAGGCUGAACACUACACCUAGUAAGCUCCUUAAAAGUUCUAAAACAAUUCACAAAGUCACCAUCUUUAGCAAACCCACCAACCAUAACACUCCAAGAAACCGGGUCCUUCUCUCUCAUUCCACCAAAAAAAGCAUGAGCUUCAUCUAUAGCUUUGUGUUGAACGUAUAUGUAAAGGAGUUUGUUUGAAACGAAGAGGUUAGUUAAUAACCCAUUGGCAACUAUUUGCGCAUGAGCUUGUUUUAUUUGAAAGAUGUUUUUGCAGUUUAACAAAACAGAGACGAAAUACUUGGGGUCUAUAUGGAGUGAAGGAUGUGAUUCCAACGGUUUUUGCGUAUGGGUUUGGGAUUUGAGGGAGGUUUCUUGAGUGUCUACAGUUGCAGCAAGUUGAGAAAGAGGUAAAAGGCGAAAUCUUUCAUGGUUUGCUGUAAGAAAGGUCUGAGUUUUCGUGAGCUUUAACAUGGUACGAGGAAGGGAAGAAUACGUUAGAGACUCCCUAAUGCUAUUGCCAACAGCUUCUAAGUCUAACCCGACCUGACCGUAUCAUUGUCGGCUCAGAGACGAGGGAACAUGCAGCGGUUCGAGUUGGCGGCCGUUUUACUGUAUAAAUAUGUCAAUCGCCCUUAAAAUUUUUAGGUUAUUUUAGGUUAGAUUAUUUGAGAAUGAUGUUUAAAUUUUUUAAAUUAAUUUAUUAUUGAUAUAAAUCAUUUUAAGUUUUAAUUAAAUUUUAAAUUUAAAUCAUUUCAAUUUUUUCAUUCGAGUUAAUCGAUGAGUUGGAUUUUUAACUUUUUAUCAUAAAGAAACAUGAGAACAUGGUGGUGCAAUAAGGGGGAAUAUACUGAAGCUGAAAUAUACAUACGGCCAUCUUUGCAAUAAUAUACGUAAAUAUAGUUCAGAAAAGUAGAAUUCUCAAUUUCGAGUAUACAAAAAUGGCAUACAUUACAAAGCUGCUUAAUAAAAUUUCACCCUGGGUAUUGGGUGUUUACGUAACUCUAUCCAGAGGUUCAAAAACUUCAAAAUCCUAAGAAAGGAUUAUUCAUACGAGCUUUUUUACUUGAUAGAGAAUGUAAAAAAUCAAUAAAACGAAAGAAAAAAAACUUAUUACCUUUUUUUCCAUUUUUCUUACCAAGUGAUACCUCUGGUAACUUGUAGUAUACCACCUUUCACCUCCAUUUACUGACUGCAACCUUACAAUCAUCCAAUGAUGAUGACGAAUGAUGACUGACAGGUGUGACUUUAAUCAUACAAAAUACAAAUAUAAUUUUUGAAAAGAAUAUUAUGAAUGUAAGAGAGAGCACACUGGAUUUUAGUUGAUUUCGGUAAGGGGAGAGCGUGUUGGUAUUACUGAUGACUUUAACAACUUUGGUUCAAAUGACUCGUACGAGUUGUUUUCUCGAAAUUCUUCGACCAAGGCUUCCAUUGGCAUGGCUCGUAAUGAUUCAAUAGUCCCCUUGGUCGGUACAUCUUGUUCGCUUCGUAAUGGAGUCGUCCCACUCGGCUCAUAAUUCUAUAACAUUAUUUGUAAAACGGUGCAAGAAAUCGAAUCGUUAAAUUAUCUGAAUGCAAUCUAUGUUACUACUUGGCUCAUAAGCUGUAUAACAACAUACCAUAUAUGUCUGCUGGAAUGUUUCUUCUGCUCUCUGUUUGAUUGAUGUAGCUUGACUUGAAUGAUCAUCGUGGAAUAUCUUGAGGGUUUUGCCAUGAGCUUUAACGGAAUCCAAGAUUCUGGAUUUAAUUCCAUGUUCCUGCUCUGACAUACCUGUAUAGAAUUACAUGGUAUAAAUACCAAUCGUACCAUUCUAGUUAAAACUGAACGAUUUUUCACCUUGCAUGGUAUGAAUAUAUACAGUCCAGAAGAAACUUACUAUCAAUGUAUUUAAGGGUAUCAUCAGUACUCUUCAAGCUAUCUUGCUCAGCUGAAAUCCUGGCACAAUUAAUCUCGGCGUCAUGCUGCUCAUUUGCAUCAGAAGCAUUCCUGAAAGAAACGAAUUAACUUCAGAAAAACAAUAAAUGAAAUAUAAAUAGAAGAAUCUCGGCAUUGUUAACUUCAUGUUCCAUAUGGCAACAAGGCUGUAAAAUAUAUUUUACCACUGACCUUAUAAGUGAUGCCAUAUCUGAAACAUGUUUAUAAGCCAUCUCAUUUACAGAUUCCUGAGCAUCUUUGCUGUGCUUGAAUGCAGAUUCAGCAGUCGACACACUGAAAGUAAAAGAUAAGGAGAAAUUAAGUCUAAAGAUGCAAAGACAAGAGAAACUGAUUCAGAGUACAAAUAUAGCAUAUUUUACCAUUGCUGUAAAAGUGCCUCCAUGCGACAAUGUUUGGCAGCCGAGUAAUCAGAACUGUCUUUAGCAUCAUUCUCUGCUUGCAUAACAAAUUCUCGCCAUUUUCGUUUUGCAUCUGUUGUAAUACCCACCAUGGAGGAAACAUGUCCAUCUAAAAAUGUUUUGUUUGCCAUAGCACUUUCUCUGAUAUCCAGAAGCCUUGCAUCCACCUGCCAGAAAAACCAUAAGUUAAUCUUGAAAAAAAGAGAGGGAUACGUAGAAAACAAAUAGAGAAUCGACAAACCAGCUCUUUUUGCCGACAAACAUGGUUAUACACAAGAUUUGUCAUAUCAGCAAUAAGCUUCUCGGAAUCAGAUUUUGAUUGUUCCUGCAUAGCAUAUGCUUGAUGAGUAAAGAAAUUUCAGCAGCAUAUCUCUGGGCAGGAAUGUAUGUAUUAUACCUCAUAAACCUUCUGGAAGCUAGCGAUGCUCUUCAUUUGAACUUCAUCAGCUUGGACUGCAUGAUUCUGAACCUUCACAGACUCUUCAGAAAGCUUAUCAAGAAUUCCAUUGGUGUAAUCAGAAAUGUUUUUUGUUUGCUCAAUACUAGCAUGGAACCUCUGUUAAUCAAAAGGAGACGCAGAAAAAAGUAAAUCAGAAAUGAAAAGAAAACUAAAAUAUGAACCGAAUGAAGAAAUCUACAUAUUAACCCAUCAAAGGGAACUUAUGCUAAAAUAAAUAGUACAAGCCAAACAAUUACAGAAAAGAAAUACUGAAAAAAAAAGAGAGAGGGAGAGAUGCAAGGAGACAAUGAGAUCACUACAUUAGAGGCAAGUUGAAAAUUCGAGCACAAACCUGCCGUAGCUCCCUUGCAAAAAGAGCCAUUUCUCCCUGGUGAGUUGCAAGAGUACCCUGAAGAUCAUUAAAUAUUGAAGCUGCUUUUCCAGCCUCGGAUUUGAGGAACUGAUCCACAGUUAAUCAAAAGGGAAACAAUAAAAUGAGCUCAAUUCCAAAUAAAUUAAGUUAUUCCAACCUCAGAAUAUCAGCACCUACCUCUUCGAUGGAAUGUGCGUUUGAAGCAGCCAGAGUUGAAAUUUCAUCUAGGGCAGCAUUGGAGCUACCCUUGUGCAAACGCACAAUAUUUUGGACUGCCUCCAUCUGGGAAACAUGCAAAGUCCUCGCGGCAGUGACCUUUUUCUUCAUAUCCAAGAUUGCCUAAAAGCAAUAUUUAUGUAUGCAAGGUCAGCCACUGCUAACCAAUGAACUCCAAAACAAAACAACUCCCACACUGAGGAAAAUGUAAAACAUGAGGUCACUUAAAAAGUGAGAAUCCUGAAUGCCAUAACCAUUUAAUACCUUUUGAUGUGUAUCAGUAAAAGAACGACAGAGUUUCUCAACACUCUCAAGGUGUUCGUUUUGCUGAGACAUUAAUGAGGACACCAGGUUGCAAAUAGAACCAAUUUGUUGGGCAAGUUCUACUUGAUAGUUGUUAACCACUACUCUAUUAUCAGCAUUCAGCUUGUCUUCCCUUCCUAUAAGGUAAAACAUCAUACUCAGGUUCAUGUUUCUGUUUACUGAUAAACACAAUAUGUUUCUAUUUACUGAAAACUAAAUUGAACGUACCAAUUUUUAGGAACAACAAAGCAUUAUCCUUGACAGCUUUCUCUAAGUCAGACCUCAAAGCACAAGCUUGAUGUGCUAAAGCAUUUUCUAUUUUUGACCAUCCAAAAAUAAUGUCAGCAGAAAAUAAAUCUGAAUAUAAGCUAAAAUUCAAGUAAAUACGUAUUAAUCUUUACCUGCUUGUUUCUGCUGAGAUAUGAUAAAUUCUUUCUCCUUCAGCACAUAACGACACUUCUUCAAUUCUUCUUCGGAGUUGACAAGCAAUUUGCUGGUUUCAUUCAAGUUUUUCUGCAUAUUCAGCAAAUUACUUAGCAUCAAUCUAUAAUAUAAAAGAAUCAGAUGAAAGUUUUGAGACAGCUCACCUCUGUCUUCUCAAGUUUGCCACUCAAAUCUGAGCACUGUCGAACUUGAGCAACAUAUUUGUCUUGCAAUUCCUCAAGUUGCUGAUUUGUAACAUACCAAGCAAAAGACAUAAACAUAAGCCACAAAAAUCAAACAGAGACGGCAAGCAUCUCAUCCGUCCAACCACCCCAAAAUGAUACCAAAAAAAAAAAAAAAGCUAACCUUCUGAUGGUUUUCGAGAAGGACCCCCAUUUUUUCAAUCUGAUCGGCCAUUGCCUAAAAAAUGUCAUACAAACACACUAAUAAGAAUAAAUGAAAACAAAACAUUCAGUAUAACCCGAGUACUUCAUAAAUGAACUGAUUUAUAUAGGGGAAAAUUAAUAGAAUAAUAGGAAAGCAUUAACACAUUUAAGAAAUGACAUCAAAGAACAUUAUGAAAUAAUGAAAUCAUUCUUUCUACACAUGAACAUACACCCUAAAGGUAAGUGGGGGUAGUAUCAGCCAAAGUGCACACCUUCCUUUCACUUUCCUCUUGGUAAUACCGCUCUUUUGGAACAUAAACACCAUUUUUCUCACGAGCAGCAUACACCUCUGAAGAAAUGGGCAACAUAAAAAUGCAAUGUAUAUUAAUCAACAUAGUUUAUGAAGGAAUACAAUAUUGCCCCAUACUAUUAAUUUUAUUAACACCCCUCCAAUAAAGAAGAAUCUUACCUCCCUUUAGGCGUUCAAUUUCACCAUAAAGGUCCUUUAUAAGAGUUGAUUUCAUCAUUUUUUGGUUAACCUACAUAAGAUUAUCAAUAAGUUACUAGUUAAAAUUUUUUUCUCAAUUCGAAAGAACAAGUCAAUAUUGCUAUAGAGAAAAUGCCAUAUUACUGCAAUUCAUGGUUAACUAGACAUUCAAGAUAUAAAUAUACUACACGACAAUUACUUUACUUGCUGGAAUAUCACUGUAAUUUAUUCAAGACAAUAAGUAACUGUGAAGAUAACAGGCCAGUUUUGGAAUAUAAAUAAUUCAGACUACUAUUGAAAGGUUGGACUAUAGUAAGUUUCAAGGAAGAUAAACUUUCAGUUAAAAGAAACUGAUUUGUUCAAUAAAGAUUAUGUGCCACACACCUCAGGCUUAUUUUUUAUGUGUUUUGCCCUGUGUGCAUAAUCAAGUGUGCUUAAGGUCUCCUCCAGACAAUGGACAGCAGGAGAAACUGUUGCUAUAAUGCAAGUCUUUGUUCUUCCCCCAAGUGAAUCACGGAGUAAUCGAGUAAGCUUGCUAUCCCUAAAUUCCAAUUACACUAAAUAAUUAGAAAAAAACAUGCAAUGAUCAUUAAAUCAACUCUAAGAAGCAAUUUCAAACCUGUAUGGAACAUGCCCAAGAUGCUCCACGAGAGCACUUAUAACUCGUCCUAAAGUAAGCAAACUCUUAUUAAUUUCACCAGCUUCUCUUGCACGACCCUGUAAAUAUCAACAUCAACCAACACAUUAACUAUUUCUAAUAGGUGAAUUAAGAUCCAACAUUCGACCAGAACAUUAAUUGUACUAGAAAGACAUACAUCCCUAGCACCAGAUCGAGAUAUAUUUUCUGAUCCUGCUAAAUCAACCAAAUUCAGCUUCCCACACUUUAUAAGCUCUUCACCUUCUGGUGUCGCCUCCUUAAUAUGAAUUGUAAUAGAAAAUAAAGAAUGCGACCGACUGAAAUAAACCAGAAUUCUUCAAUCAAACAAAAAGAGAAAAAAGCUGAACUUUCAAACAUAAAAUCAAAUAACAAUUACCUUGACUGCUUAUUCAACAAAGUCUCUGCAGUUCGACGUUUAGCAGACCCUCUUUCAAGCAAAGUAAAUAUCUCACUAGAAGUUGUAACAAUUUCUUCUUCUAAACCUCUCACAAGAACUCCACCUUUCCCAUCUUCCAUAAGUGGCAACGUCUUCUUCUGCUUCUCCUCCAAAACAACUUUUGAAAUUUCUUCAGGCGCAAGUAAAUCAGUAAUUUCCUCAUUAUAUAGUUCCAAAAAUGUAACUUUUACGCUGUAUUCUGCAUUCUGACCCUCUAAGGUAUCAAAUAUUUGUUGAACUGCUCUCGGGAUAACCCCUGCAUCAGCUGGCAACUCGCCAUUAUGUCCCGCCUGUCACGUUUGCAUAGAAUAAGAUUAACAAAUUAGAGUGUAUAAAUUAAACAAGGCCUAAAAUUAGAAACAGAUGUAAGCAAGAACACAGAUAUUUGAUCUAUAUUACCUUUCCCCUCUUGCAUUCACCUUCCAUAGUGUAAGUUUUGCCAGUACCAGUUUGCCCAUAAGCAAAAAUAGUACAGUUAAAACCUUCUAAGACUUCAUUCACAAUCGGAACCACUGCUUGUUCGUAUAGAUCUUUUUGUUGGGCUGUUGGCCCAAAUACCUGUUCAAAAAUUAAAAUCCCUGACAGAUUGAACAUUUACCGGAGAAAACAAAUCCAACUAUAAUAUUAAUUGAUCAAUUAACUAAUUAAAAUUUUACGAUCACAAAAAAGGAAACCUUAUCGAAAGUGAAAACCCUAUCGAUAUGCUUCCCGGCGAUGUUCUGCGAAACAGCCACUUCUCGUUGGAACUCAUUACAAGUCACUACCUGCGGCGCAUUGUUCCUUAACUCAUCUUCACUAAAUGGCCUGAAUUUUUACAGAUUAAAAAAAAAAUCAAAAUCUAUCAAAUCAAAUGAAAUGAAAUUACAGGACCUAAGAAACCCUAAGUGGAAAUUAGAUUUAAGAAAUGAAGAAAAAACCUGCAACGGAGGAGGACUUGAACGUUGACGCCUUUCUCUCUUUCGUGGCGACCGGACAUUUUUCAAAUCGUUGAAGAGGUGAAGAAUCGCAGGAAACUAUUUUCGAUAUGAUUUUUGCUUUGUUUUUGUUGAUCUAUAUGACUGUUUAGAUCGGGUUUUUGAAUUUGGUUCCGUUUUUUUUUUUUUUUUUUUGCCUUUGUGGGUUUGUGUAUUGGAGAAAUAAAUCUGAAAGGGAGAAAGAGCGGGCUUUAGAAUGAGAUUUGAAUUUUUUGAAAGGAGGCGCUCCGGGGGAGCCGUUGGGUUUAUAUGCUUUGUUGGAUUGUUAAUCGGACGGUCUAGAUUAGUUAAAUCAGUUGGACUGCAUUGCCCUUAUGAAUUAUUUAUAAUGCCUUGUGAUUUUAGUUUUUUUUAACGUGACUGAGCCUGGCCCACUUAUACUUGGCCCAAUCAAGCCUUUCUUGUUGGUCUACGUUUUUCUAUUAGUAAAUAAAGAAUACAUAGCCUAAAAAUUAGGAAUGUAUAGGUAGAAUUCUCCACGUGUAGAGAGCUAUGAACAUCUUCUUCUAGUAGUCUUCUUAUAUACUGUGGUGGAUAUUGGGAAUAACUAAUUGAUUUAGGGUGGGUUUGGAUGGGUGAUUGGGUGUGGUGCGGUGUGGUGCGUUUAACUUACUUUUUGUCUCACGCUACAGUAUCGUUACAGUAUCUAAUCUCACCGCCAUCGCUGUUUUUACACUAACCGCAGAUAAACGUACCGUCCAUCUAAACUCACCCUUAAUUGCCCUAUUGUUGCCUUGGUCAAGCAGUCAGCCAUGUUGUUACUCUCUUUUAAUACCUGUCUAAAUUUCAUUUUCUAAUCCUUAUUGCACCAUUCAUAUAUUAAUUGAACUUCUCUAAUAUUAUUAAUUGAUGCGAACUCAUUUUAAAUAGUAUCAAUUAACAUUGCACUGUUGCAAUUAGAGGUGAUCAUGGGUUGGGCUACUCGACCCGGCCCGACGGCCCGCCCAAAAAAUGAGAGGGUUCGGAUAAAAAUAUAGGCCCGAAAUAUGAGUUUGAGCAAAAAAACGAGGCCCGUUUAGAAAACGAACUGCGCCUCGGGUAAAACUUUUUUGGCCCGGGCCCGGCCCUGCUCGAAUUAUAUAUUAAAUAUAUUUUUUUAUUAUUUUUAAUCAAGUAUACUUUUUAAAAUUUAAUAUGCUAUUUUCUUUCGAGCCGGGCUUGGACAAAUUUUUAGGCCUAUAUUUCAAGUCGGGCCGGGCCCAAGCCUAGAAAACAGGUCUAAAACUUUGUCUGAGUCCAGCCCGGCCCAUGACCACCUCUAAUCGCAAUCAACCUCUACAUUUUGAGCACGUGGAUUUAAAUAUACAUAUAUUCAUUUUUUAUAUUUAUAGAAAUUGUUUUUUAUACUUUUGGUCAAUUUUAUUUUGCAAAAUUAAAGUAGAUAAGGGAAUAAGGGUGAGUUUGGAUGGGCGGUGCGUUUACCUGCGGUUAGUGUAAAAACAGCGGUGGCGGUGAGAUUAGAUACUGUAGCGAUACUGUAGCGUGAGACAAAAAGUAAGCUAAACGCACCGCACCGCACUCAAUCGCUCAUCCAAACCCACCCUAAAGAAAUAUGUAUGGUUUUAUUAUCAAUAAAUUAUUCUAUUGAACAUUUACUUUAGAAUAAACAAAUUUAUUGUGAUAAAAACUUUGCACAAAAAUAUUAAGUGAAUAAAAAAAUUACACAUGUUUAUAUAUAUAAGAUGUUAUUUUAUUAAAAACUUUCAAUAAGAUAAAAUCUCGAGUAAGGAAAAAAUAGCACAAUGCCUAUUUCUUUCCCUCGUGAUAACAACACAUAAAAUUUUAAAGUCUAUAUAUUUUAAUCUUAAAUACAAGUUUUUCAAAUAUUGAAGUAAAUAAUGCUUUAUAAACUGAUCUAUUAAUUGGUCACUUUAAUUGAUUUGCGGAAUAUAUAUUUCACAAUUAUUAUAUAAAGAUCAUGAAUAAGGAAGAAUUUUGAGAAAAUAUAUUUCACUUGAGCUUCUUUAAUAUAUUUCAUACAAGUUAUCAAAUUGUGUGCUAUUACCAAGACGUAAUAGUGUUUCUAUAGCCCUAAGAUGUGCUUCUGAAUUAGACUUGUUCAUGGGUUGGGCAACCUGUCCAGUCCCGAAGGUACACCCGAAAUUUAGGAGGGUUUAGAUAAUAAUAUUAAGCUCGAAAAAUGGGAUUAGGCAAAAAAAUUAAGCUUGUUUAAAAUAUGAGUUGGGCUUGAGUUUGGGCUUGAACAUUCAAUGCCAGAGCUCGAUCCGGCCUAUUUUUUAAUUUAUGAUACUUUAUAUUAUGGUAUUUUUAUAUAUUAUAUAAUUUAGAACUUAUUAAAAAAAUAAAUAUAUACUGAAUAUAUAAUACUACUCUAAUAUAAACAUUAAAAUAAUAUUAAGAUGACUAUAUAAAAAAUUUAAUAAAUAAAAAUGUAUAAAUUUAUUAAAUAUUAAAAUAAUAUAAUUUAAAUAUAUUUAAAAAAUUAAAAAAUAAUAUGAACGGGUUUAGAAUAGACUUGGGUUAGCCAUUUGCAAAUAUAAUUGGAUUUAGAUAAAAUUUUAAACUCAUAUUUCGAGUCAAGUUAAACAUAAACAAACAUAAAAUAUAUUAAUAUCAUGAUUAAUCCCGACCCAACCAUGAACACCACUAUUCUGAACCAAAGAUUUCUUUAUAAUUUUAUUGAAGAUGAAAGAUUGUCCUUUCACAUUUGGUGGUCUCACAAUUAUUGAGUACACAACGAAAUCAUUUUAUUCUUAUUGAACCAAUUUAAGAACCUCUUUGUAUAUUUCAAUUUACAAAUAAAAUGCACUAUAUGGUAAUCUUUACCAAAAGUUGUAACAAUAACUAUUAUACGUAUAUAAAGUUAUAAUUUUUACAUAAUCAAUGUUAAGACAUUUGUGAAAACUCCCAAUCUCAAAAAUCGUGCUUUACCACAUUGCUUUAUACCUUUAGAUAUUUGAGAUACAGAUAAAAAAAAUUCACAUUUUGAAAAUGAAUUUAAUUCUAGUUCAAUAAUGUUUUUUCUAUGUCUACAUUACUCGAAAAAUUUAUAUUCAAUAUCCUUAUUUUAUGUCGCCAUUUAAAUAGUAAUAUUAUAUGUAUAAAUGUUGUCGAUAAAUUAUUCAAUUCAGUUUCAUCUUUUUUUUAUUGUGACAUGACUUAUCAAUAUCUCUUCAUGUUCAUUAUUUAAAGUUUCAAGCACAUGAAUCUCUUCUGAAAUUUUAUGAUUAGUUAUGUAUUAAGUCUCUUUUGAUAUGAUUAUAUUGAGUUGUUAUUUUCUUUUACGAGAUUUUUCAUCUUUAAAACUAACUAAUCUAAAUUUUUUUUAGGCAUGUCUUACUUUUAUUUGUUCUAAUAAGUCAUUUUACGAAGACAUUGAUUCAUAUUCGAACAUUUUCAGCUAUGAGACUUAGGGUGGGUUUGGAUGGGCGAUUGAGUGCGGUGUGGUGCGUUUAGCUUACUUUUUCUCUCACGCUACAGUGUCGCUACAGUAUCUAAUCUCACCGCCACUGCUGUUUUUACACUAACCGCCGGUAAACGCACCGCCCAUCUAAACUCACCCUUAAAUAUUCUUGUUAGGUCGGAGAAAUUAUUUGGUGUUGAUUUGGAGCACCUAAUUUCAUUCACUUAUGAACUUCUAAUUCAUAUGAGAUAAUAAAUAAUGUAUUUAGUAUAAUCAAUAUAAUAAUCAAUAAAUAAUGUCAUUGAAUAUUUGCUUAAAAUAUUUAAUAAUAGAAAGGAUAAAUUAAUUAAUAUAUAUUCUUAAAUUUCUUCAAAAACUUAUUUUUGUUAAUUGUGUUGGAUCAACCUGAACAUAUACUGCACAUCAAAAAAUUUAAAAAUGGAAAAUAAUUUACUCUAACUAAAGCAAAUUAUAAUGAGAUUGUUACAAUUUAUUGGAUUGAUGCGUACAAUUGUUGUUGCAAGUAAAAUAUCAUAUUUUCAUACAUUUAUGAGAAAUUUUGCUAUCAUAAGUAAUGAUUUAGCUAUUGAUUGGAGGAAUUUAAACAAUAAAUUUGCUAAACCAUGUAUAAAUAUCAAAGUCUAUAAGCAAUUAUUUCAUUAGACAAAAUAAUCAUUAAAAAUUUAAGAUAUGAUGUCACUGAAAUUAGCAAGAUAAAUUAUUUUAAUUCUAUAAUUUAAAAACUUUGUUCUUAAUUUAAUUAUUUGAAUAAGCAAUCUUGUAAACGAUGGAUUGUGAGUUGAUAAUGCACAUGUGACUAUCUUGUAGAUUUAUAGAUGCAUCUAUCAAAAUCAUAUAAUAAUAUGUUUCACAUCAAGAAUAAAUAGGCUCAAAUUUCAUAAAUUUCAUAUAAUGAUAUAUUUGGACUAGUGAACUUCUUGUUUAGCAUAGUUUGUUAUUCAAUCAUACUAGUGUUAUGGGUCGCGGUUCAAAGUCUGAGAUGAAUACACAUGAAGAGUCCCAUAGAGGUCAACUAAUUAAAUGAGACUCAUUUAACUCACUUGAACUGACCUAAUUUAUGGAACACGUGGAGAAACCCGUCUACUUGAAGCUUUGCUAGCCUAAUGAAACACUCUAGUAAAACUGGAGUUGCCAGGGUAAAUAUCGUAAAUCUUGAGGAAUAAGUAGAGGUGCUCAUGAGUCGCGUCAGGCCGGGCCUAAACAUGAUAUUAACAUAAUUUAUGUUUGCCCAAGUUCAGCCCGACUUGAAAUAUGGGCUUAAGAUUUUGCUCAAACAUGCUCAUAUUUGCAAAGAUUGACCAAAGCCCAUUUUAUUUUUUUAAUAUUUUUUUAUUUUAUUUUAAUAUUUAAUAAUUUUAUACAGUUUUUAUUUAUUAAAUUUUUUUAUAUAGUCAUCUUUAACAUUAUUUUAAUGCUUACAUUUGAGUAGUAUUAUAUAUUUAGUAUAUGUUUAUUUUUUAAUGUGUUCUAAAUUACAUACUAUAAAAUAUUAUAAACUUAAAAAUGGGUCAGGACAGGUCGAGCUUGGGCCUUGAAUGUUAAAGCUCGAGCUCGACUCAUAUUUUAAACGGGCUUAAUAUUUUUGCCCAAACCCUCCCAAAAUUUUUAUGGGCUUUUAGACCUAGAUGGGUAGCCCAACCCAUGAACAAGUGUAGAGAUAGAAUUGUUUAGUGUUUAAAUCUCUUAAGACACUCAUAUUGUAGAUAAACAUUAAUCUCAACAAUUAAUAUAUUUGGUCUGUACCGCUGAAUCUAGAAAAAUUCAACUAUAAAUAAAUGCAUUCCCCUCGUAUAAACAUUUGGUAUGCACGAAAAUGUGUAUUUACCAAAAAAAAAAUCUAAUAAACUCCAUCUUCGAUUAAGGUUUAGACUCUAAUAAUAUUAUAUAUGUUGAAAAUAUAAUUGAUGCAUUAAUGUACCAUCAAAUAAUUUUAAUAAUAUUGAAAGGUUUAAAAAAUAUUUUAAAAAUAAAUAUUAAUCAUACUAAUUAAACAUAAAUAAAUUCAAAAACUUAUUAUUAAUUUUUGAAACGAAUAAUUUUACUCAAGAAAAUCAAUGGAGGGAGACUUGAUGACGUCCAACAAUUUGUAAGGAUUUCAUUUUUGACUCCAAUAAUCAAAACAUUAAACUCUUCGUCUUCCCCUAAAGCCCUACGCUCUAAAUCAGUAGUUGAGCAAACCUCUUUCACAAUGAGCAGAUCCGGCCAGCCUCCAGAUCUCAAAAAGUAACUUAUUUUUUCACGCUCCUAUUUCAAUGCUUCUCUUUGUUUGAAUCUCUUUUCCCUGGAUUUUUUGUUUUUUUAUUUUCUUUUUAUCUUGCUUAUAACAGGUACAUGGACAAGAAGCUCCAGAGUAAGUUUUUCAUUUUUUUUUAUGCUUUGCUUCUACUUAUUUCAAUUCCAUACUAAAAUUUAGUUGAAGUUAGUUUAUAUUCAUUUUUUGUUGCUUGUUUCCGGUAGUAGCUCGCUUAAGCCGCAAUUCCGUUUGUUAAGUUUCGCAUGCACGAUGAUAAAUGGCUCUUGGUUCCAUUUUUACAUUUAUUUUUUCAGUUGUGACGAGUAUUUGAGAAUUGAGACCUGCGUAUGCCCUGCAAUAUGGAAUUUCAUAUUUUUGGUUCAUUAGAAUGCCUGUUUCUGGGUUGUGAUAGUUAAAGAAUUUGUAUGUUAUGCAACAUUUGAUUAGGUAUUAGAUUGCAUACAUUUAGGUAUCAAGACCUAGAUUACUUCGAAUUAGCGUAUGGGUGUUGUGCACGGAUAUGUUGUAACUUCUUUUGAGGUUCUUUAAUGUAUUUGGAAGAUCCUUAGAGGGUCAUGUCCUCGCUCACAAGUCCAAGUAUUUCUCAUAUUUUAAGGAAAAAAUAAUAGUCGGAGCCUAUGUUACUUUGACACGGGUGCGAGUAUCGGAUAUGUGUAUGUGUCCAAAACAGUUAUGGUCUGAUUUUUCGAAGAUUCUCUAUUUAUUUGGAGUAUCAUUGGAGGCUCCAGAUCCAUGUGUUGGACACAGCUACACAGGUUCCUCAACAAAAACAAAGAGUCGGAGCAACAUACAUAAGAUUUUAAUCCCUUGUCUCGGGGUGUACUUUCACGUUUAAUAAAAAUUGUGGUUGUUUUUCUGUAUGUUUUUCAAUCUUUUGGACUCUUCUGGAUGUUAAUAGUCAUAAAAUUGCAUCCUUGAGAACAUAGUAUUGACCAUAAUUGAAGAUUGAAGCAUUCUGUCAUCAAAAGAAAAAAUAAAAGAGAUUGAAUAAUUCAUGAGCUACUGUUGGUUGUAGAUUUGGCUAUGAAUUGUUACGGUAUUUUCUAAUACCUCUUUGAUUUAGUGAGUCAGGAAUUCUUUGCUUUAUGCUUUUACUCGCUCUUGUAAGUUGCAGUUGUGUUAGGUCGCAAUAUGUAAAAUACAAUAUUUAUAAAUGAGAUAACAAAAGUAAAUGUUUGGCUUAUGAGCUUUGAGAUUGUUGGUUUACAUAAAUUCUAUAUUACAAUUUUGAAUCUUAAGAACUCUAUCAUGCUUAAAACUGCAGUUAAGCUGAAUGCAAAUCGGUUGGUUGUUGGUACACUUCGCGGAUUUGAUCAGUUUAUGAACCUAGUAGUUGACAACACCGUUGAGGUGAAUGGCAAUGAGAAAACUGACAUAGGCAUGGUGGUGAGUCUCGUAAUGCUUAAACCGUCACUAAAGAUAUAAUACUUCGAUCAUUUGCCUCAUUUAAGUGGUAUCAAUUUGUUGCAGGUGAUCAGAGGAAAUAGCGUUGUUACUGUUGAAGCACUUGAGCCCGUAGGCCGGAUGCAGUAAUUCAGGUUUUUCGUUCCAAAACUUGGAUUUCACUUUCUGUAUCUCUUUCACUCUUUGUGUCUAGCCUGCUAGCUUCGGGCUUCAUAUGUUACAUGAUCGAGAAUUCGUAGGAAGUUGUUAGAUUGAUAUCCAUGGAUUCUGUUCUUUCUUUUCGCUAUCCUUUGAUCUAUUAUCACUUUGACGGAAACAAGGCUCUCCAAGUAAACGAAAGCAUCAAAACCAUCAAAUAUCAGAUGCCUAUGAAUCUUAAACUUCUUAAAUUCGUGUUUACCAGGAUUGUAAGACACCAUUUCAUUAUUGAGUCCUAGGUUUUCCACCAUAAUAACUUCAUUGUUUUCCCGAACUGUCAAUGCGCUCCUUCUACACUACACCCAUGCUUUUCAAAUUCGAAAUUGGGAACUUUUAUCUGUCACACUGUAUUCUUUCUUCACAAAUAUGUUCAUAUGAUUUCUUUUAGUUACACCUAUACCCAAGCUUCCAUCCCACAUUAGAAAAUUGAAAUCGAAAACUACAUCAUCUGGUAGUCGUAUUCUUCGAAACUCUUCAUCACCCAAGUCGAAUGAUAUGAUGUCAAAACCUAUGCUAUCAUGAUAUUCGCCUUUCCAAUGAAUCAAUCUGUAAAAGCUUUUAGUAGUAUAACUGCAAAUGUCUCCCGAAUUUAUGCUAUUGAACUUGCCUCGUUUUACUUGUCUCCAUGAAUAAGUUCCUAAUGUGUAAACUUCUACAUUGUACGAUCCAACAUAGAAGCUACCGCUGACAUUAUAUUUGGUUCUUCCGAGUUUUCUACUACUUAUCUGCAUAGCUUCACAUCGAUGGUUUAGGAGAUUAUAUCCGAAACUAAAAAAGUAAAAAAGUUUUAAUCUCGGGUUUCAGACUCGAAAUCAGGAGGAUAAAAGUUUCCUUGGUAUACAUCAUUAUAAUUUGGCAAAUAGAUAUAAGACCAUCACAAUGGUAUACAUCAUUUAAAUUAUAUCUCCAGGACCCGUCAAAGAAAUCUAAAGACAAAUCAAAGCUACGAUCAAAAGAAUCAUUAUUAGAGAUUAUUGAGAAGGAAACUUUCGACGUCGAUCCUCUCCUAAUAAUGAAGAUAUCUUCCUUGUGACAACGGUGUUGACGGCUUCGAUCCAAAUGCAUGGUUAUGAAGGUGUUGCCACUAAAGAGAGCAUACCAUGAUUUGCAAACCGAUUUGAAUCGGCAAGUUCAAAAGGAUAACAUCAUAUCCAUUGGUAAAUCACUAAAUGCAACACCCUAGAUUCGAUCCAGUCGUCCGGUAUAAACUAUAAGAUACCAUAAUUAUAAAAAUUUGACAUCAUUCACAAUUUAAUAAAAAUAACCAAAUAAUUCAUUUGCAACUAUUUCCAUGCUAUUCAAUCAAAAUUAGACUUAACUCAAGUUUAUGGAACAUUUAAAACAAACUGGAAACAAUUUUGGAUUAAAAUAAAUUUGAGUAAAAGGUGAAAAUAAAGAUUAUAUAGUCGUGCGUGUGACAGAGCUUAGCCCGAUUGAAGUAUUUAAAAUAUUUUUCUUUAAAAAAAAGGGUUGAAUUUGGAAUUUAAUAAUUAAUGUAUAAUCAAUCACUGUAUAUUUAUAAUUUUGGUAUGGGGAGUUUAAGUUGGAGUAAAACAAAGCCACGUGACCAAUUCAUAUUAUAAUUCUAGUGAAAUUGGGAUUUAGGGUUUAGAUGAGAGUGAAUGUUUAACUCAAUUUAAUUUAAAAUAUAUAUAAUAUGGAUUUAACUAAGUAAUGAGAUUUAAACCUUAAAUUUCUGGGGGCAAUGUUAUUAAAGGUAAAUCUGUUUUUUGGUUUUAACUUUGAGGGACUUUUUUAAUAUCUAAUAAAACAUUACGUGAAGUAAUAUAUGGGUUAACUUUCUGUUUAGUCCCUAAAUUACACUUUUUUUGUCAAUUAGGUAGCUAUAAUAGGGCUAUAAAGUAAAAUCUAUUAUUGAACUUUUAUUCCGUUAACGUUCGUAAACCUGACCUGAUUUUGGGGCAGGGUCCAUUAAUUUUGAUCCUCUACUUUUCACUUUAACUUUAUGCAAGUUAGGACCCUUUUUAUGAACGUAUCUUCAAUACGAUGUGUUUAUUUUUUUAUCUUACGCUACAGUAUCGUUAUAACAUUUAAUCUCACUUCUACUGUUAUACUUACAUUAACCGUAAGUAAAUGCUUCACCUAUACAAAGGGCCCUUAACCCUACUUUGUGACGUGAGUAAUUUGACCCAAAUAGCUAAAGCAGUUAACACGAAAGGUUAAUGAGAUUUUCACUCCAAAUUGAGGUGUUUCAAGAUAUUUUGUAAAGAAAGUUAAUUCACGUAAAUCCAUAUAAGCAUGAUAAUUUUGCAUUUUUAAAUAAGUGACAUUAUACUAACUUGGCUUAAAGUAUGUGAAUUAUUCACGUUAUAAAAGGUAAGAAUAUUUUUUUUUCUCCAUUUUCAUAAUUGAACUUAACAAGUAGAUCUAUUUUGGUUUUUUUUAAAUUUGAAUUCUAUUAAGAUUUAAUGAUGUGAUCAGUGUUACUGGAACAAGAUCGGAUCAAACAGGCUGAGAACCGGUCGAUAUAAUGGUCCAAACAAAAGGGUUGAACCGGUUGACUCGAAAAAUACUUAAAAUUGGUAAAAAUAAAAAAUCGAGACAAAAAUCGACAGUUUUUACAGCAUACAAUAUGCAUUAAAAUGAUGCAUGCAUCUUUCAUUAAAUCUUGAAAAACAUUUGUAAGUUGUUACAACAAUAAUUCCUACAUUUACAAAGAGUAACCAAUCUUUACUCUUAUUUUAGGGAGGAGAAUAGGUAGUAGAUGAUAUUUUUUCUUAGGGAUGGAUUCGAGUAGAUUUCUAUUUUCUAGUUCUUAAAAAGUUAGGUUAGAUCUUCAUUUUUAUUUUUAUUUGUGGAUUUUUUUUAUUUAUUUUCGACGUUAAAGCUUUGCGAUUGAAGAAUACUCAAGACUCUUGCACUUAUUCUGAUUUACCUACGAGCAUUUCUCUCUUUAUUCUCAAUUUUAUAUUUGAUUCAUCAAAUGUUGAUAGAAUUUUUGUAUGAAAAAUGAAAUAGAUCAUGUGAUUUUAUGAAAUAAGUUGAACCGGUUUAAUAUUUUUUUAGAUUUUUAAUGAUAUUUUAAUUAUUUAUUUAAUUAUUGUUGGUCCAUAGUUAAAACGAUCGAAUUAUUUAAGCAUUAAACAUAAUAAUUUAAGAUUGUACCAUAUCAUUACGUUAAAAAUUUAUAUAAAUUUUCAAGUGAUGUCAUCAAAUUUUUAAAAAAUUUAAAGAUAAAAAUGAAUCUAAUUGUUAAGCUCAAAUGAUAAAGUGUAAAAAAAAAUAUAAGUACCAAAAUGAACUUAAUUAUCAAGUUCAAGGGUAAAAAAUUAUAUUAUCCCAUGUCAAAGUUGAUCCCGUUGGUUGCAAAAAAGAAAAAGGGUUCAUCCCGUUGGUGGGGGGGAUUAACGAUCACUUAAGAAAGGCCUAAAAAAAGGCAAAGCCGCCGCAAAGACAGCCAUCUUUAUUUCCGAUGGCCACUAUGUUGGGUUCAAAUUUGAAAGAACAAAGGCACAAACGGACGACGCUCCUCAAUCAAACACCCUUUUUGAAAAGAGGACGGUUCCUUUUUAUUCAUGUAUUGAUUGCUUCAUCUACAAUGUAACUCAACCAAAGAAUAAUAGCUCUUGAAAUCCCGUGUGUUAGCUUGAUGAUCAGAGUGUUCAUUGUUUUAGGUGUGAUUUGAGUUUGAGUUGUGUUGCUAUUAAGGCUUUACUCUCCUCUUAUAAUUCACCAAAAAAUAAAAUAAUAGCUCUUACACCUACCAGGUCGGGAUUUCCAAUGAAAGACCCACUGUUGUUAAUCUCAUGCCAAAAUGCACUUCUAUGAAAUAGUCCUCUAAUUCUUUUCCUUAUAAUAUGUAUAUCUAUGAUAAAUUUAAUUAUCAAUGUUUGCAUUUUUUUUGUCAAUUUGGCAAUUAUUUUUAUUUAUUUAUUUAGUUACCCUUAACUUUUUAAAAAGAGUUAAAUAAGUUUUUAACGGAAAUAUUGACUAAAAAAAUUAAAAUUUUUAAGGCUUAAUGGUAUAAAAGGCCCUCGUACUUUUUUGAAAAAAAUCAAUUACACCUAUGCAACAGUUUUGCACAAAAUUGAGUCCUUCAACUAACAUUUUCCAUAAAAAACCUCAUUUGACCAAUAUCGAUUGUUAUAACGCUAAUGUGGCCGUUAAUAGCACUAGCGUGGUGCUUCGUGUCAGCAAUAAUUACUGAUGUGGUAAUGUCACAUCGAUAAAAAAUAAAAAGAUUAAAAGAAAUAUUUAUUUAUUUUACUGAAAUGAACCUGAACAUAUGAUUGUUCAAGUUGAUUCAUUUCAAAGUUUAAUUUCUUUAAAAAAUAUUUUUAAAAAUUGUUAUAAAAUUUUAAAACAUUAUUAAAAUUUAUAAAAAUAUUAAAUAAAGUUCAAAAAAUUCAAAAAAAAAAAUCAUUUAAGAAGUUAAGUCCAUAAUAAAUAUAGAUAUAUGAUUGUCCAAAUUUGCAUGAAAUUUGAACAGUAAUAUUUCCAUAUUCAUUCAAAACAACUUUUUAAAUUAUAUAAGGUUUAAAAAAAUAUUAAAAAUAUUUUUCUUUAAAAAAUUAAUAUGUGUAUCGAUAUUUUAAUUGUAUCGAUACCUUUUAGGAUGUAUAAAAAAUAAAAAUAUUUUAUAAAAUAAAUAUAAAUAAUUUUAAUUGUAUUAACCGUAAAGUUUUUUUUUAGAAUGUAUGAAUACAUCUAAAUCUAUAAGAUUAAAAAAAAAACACUUUUCUAAUGUUUUUAAAAAUUAAGCUUCAAAAUGAAUGAACCUGGACAAUCAUAUGUUCAGGCUCAUUCCAAUAAAAAAUAAACAUUUCUUUUAAUUUUUUAAAAAUUUUUUUGAUUUUUUUUCUUGACGAGAUUGUCGCUGACAUGGAGUGUCACGUUAUUGCUGAAACGGUCGACAUUGGUCAAAGGAGUUUUUUGAUAGAAAAUGUUAGUUGAAGGACUCAAUUAGGUGUAAAAAAGUCGCAAUAGCUUAAUUGAUUUUUUCAAAAAAAACAAAAACAAAAACAAAAAACUCAAGGGUCUUUUAUACCAUUAAGUCAUUUUUUAACAAUAUUAGCGUAAUAACUCGUGUUACAAUUCAUGCAUAUUUGAUGUUGAUAUGACACCAUUUGGGUCAUAUGCCACGAAUAAUUUAAAAUUUACAAAAUUAUUCAAAAAAUUAAAAAUACAUAAAAAAAUCAAAAAGCUAGCAUGAAUUACAAAAGGAUAUUUAAAAAUUUUAUGUUUUGGCGGAAUUCAAGUUUUUUAAGAAGUCUAAUAAUAUUAUAUAAAAAUAUAUUUAAAAAUUAAUAAAUCCAAAGGAUUCCAACUAAAUAAUGUUUUAUUCGAUUUUAGUUUAAUUAAAAAAAAUACUAAACUAAAUCCUUUUUCCGAAGGAACCGUUACUACCCAAAAGAGCCCACUAAUGACCAGUCAACUACUGUCAAAGCUUAAAAGCAUACGUUUCGAUAUUUGAUUGGCUUUCGAAACAAAAAGACAAUUUAGUUAAUCGUAGAGAAUCACCCCCUCAAUUUAUUUUAUAGAAUAAUAAAGCCUAAAAUGAAAGGUGGUAUCCUUUUUCUCUCUUCUAUUUCUUCUCUGAACCUCUUCAAUUCCUUUUCCGCCUACAACCACUUCUCAUUAAUCUUCAACUAAAAUUUUCAAUCUUUUAACAUUGCUUAUUCAAUCCUCAAUCUAUUUCCAUUUUUAAAAAAAAGUUGAAAAGAGCAUAAAAGAAAAAAAAACCUUGAAAAAUGAUGAUGGUUGCUUGUUACCAUCCAAAAUCUUGCCUUGAAUCAAACUCUACAUUGACACCAAAUCUUGAUAUCUUAUUAUUGCAUUAAGUUUUUUCAAAGAAACUCUUUUUGGGAUUUGUUUCUUGGGUGUAAAUCCUUGUCCCCAAUAAAGAAAACACAAUGACUGAAGUGCUCCAAUCAUCUUCAUCUCACUUCUCUUCAUCUUCAAGCCCCACUUCCACACAACAUGGCCUUAUUAACACCUCAAUGAGCAUUACAGCCCAAGGAAGUGAUCAAGGAGAAGAGAACAGGCAAGUGGGAGAAAGGAGAGGAAGGGAUAAAGGAGGUGAACAGCAGCUGCCUUUGGUAACGAUUUUGGUGACUGCUUUUAGGAAGUCUGUGAUUGGUUGUAGCAUUUCUGGAAGUAAAGAGCUUUGUGCAAUGGAAAUUGGGUUGCCCACCAAUGUUAAGCAUGUUGCUCAUGUGACUUUUGAUAGGUUCCAUGGUUUUCUUGGUUUGCCGGUUGAGUUUGAACCUGAGGUCCCCAGGAAAGCCCCUAGUGCUAGGUAAAGAUUCCUUUUUUCUUCUUCUUCUUUUCUUUUGGUUCUUGAAAAUUUAUCAUCUGGGUUUGUUUCAAUUUUGAGUCUUUCUGUCUUGAUUAAAUUGUUUUUGAUUGUCAAUAAAGAAAAAUUUUCUGGGGUUUUGGUUAUAUAUUGGUUAAUGUGCUUAUUUUCUUGAUAUUUGUUUCACAUUCAUAUAAUUCACUAUGCUUUAACUUUUAUACUGUCUUUGUUGAAGGUUGCUGAUGCUAAGAUUGGAAUAUUUCCGGUUUUUAUUACCUAAAUAUGAAGAAACUAUUGUUGUAAAUAAAUGUAAACAUCAAUUCAUUUUAGGAGCUUUCUAUGAUGAUUUGAUUUCUUUUAGAGUCCUUUCUAAACUUUGUUUAUAAAGGAUUUAAAUGACUGUCAAUUGCAUUGAAUAUCGGCGACGGUGCGAAUAUCGUGUUGUGGCUGCUAUUUAAAUCCAUGGUUGAUACCGUGCUAUGUGAUCAUAGAUGUCAAAGACUUUAUCAACAGUGUGUGUGUGGCUGAAUUCAUUUCAUUAACUAAGACAACAUUGUUGUGCAGUGCGAAUGUGUUCGGUGUUUCGACAGAGUCUAUGCAGCUUUCGUUCGAUUGUAGAGGAAAUAGUGUGCCAACAAUCCUACUAUUGAUGCAAAGGCAUUUAUAUGACAAAGGUGGCCUCCAGGUAUGUGAUCAUAUCUAUCUUUACUCUGCUAUUGCUAUGAAAAUUGCUUGGAUUAUCCAAUUCUUUUUGUUUAGGCCGAAGGGAUUUUCCGAAUUAAUGCCGAGAACAGUCAGGAGGAGUAUGUUAGAGAACAACUAAAUAGAGGAGUAAUACCAGAUGGAAUAGAUGUGCAUUGCUUGGCAGGUCUUAUAAAGGUAUUUUCUUUCUCUUUAAAAGCGGCUGUAUUUAUGUAUGUAUGUAUGUAUGUGUGUAUUGUAUGCUGAGUUGCUGUCAAGAAUUUCUUAUGUUGAACUGAUAUGUUGUAUAUGGUUGAUGUGUUUAUAAAUGCGUGCAUUGCUUGGCUGGUCUUAUAAAGGUAUUUUCUUUCUCUUUAAAAGCAGCUGUAUGUAUGUAUGUAUGUAUGUAUGUAUGUAUGCAUGUAUGUAUGCAUAUAUGUAUGUACAUAUGUAUGUGUAUGCGUGUGUGUAUUGUAUUCGGAGAUGUCAUCAAGAACUUGUCAUGUUGGACUGUGAUAUAUUGCCAUAUGGUUGAUGUGUUUAUAAAUCUGCAGGCUUGGUUUAGGGAACUUCCUAGUGGUGUCUUGGACUCUCUUCCUCCAGAACUGGUAAUAAAAUCACAGUCCGAGGAAGAGUGUGCUCGGCUUGUAAGGCUUCUUCCUCCGACAGAAGCUGCUCUACUCGAUUGGACAAUAAAUUUGAUGGCCGAUGUCGUGGAACUGGAACAUCUAAACAAGAUGAAUGCACGUAAUGUCGCCAUGGUGUUUGCUCCAAACAUGACACAAGUGAGUUAAUAUCUUUCAGUAGUUUUAAAUGUCGGGUUUCAUGUUCAAUUAUCGGAUACUGAUAUUACUGCUGUUCAUUGCAGUUGUCGGAUCCUUUAACUGCAUUGAUGCAUGCGGUCCAAGUGAUGAAUUUUCUCAAGACACUUAUUAUUAGGACUCUAAAAGCAAGACAAGAUUCUAUGGUAGACUCUACUUCCAAUUUUCCGUUAGAGCCUUCCGAUAAGAAUGGACCGCAAAGCUCUUCACAACUAUGCAACGAUGUCAAUAAUGAGGUUAAAAACGAAGGUGAAGGAGAGAAAUCAUUUGUUCCAACUACAGAAAGAAACUCUCAAAGUUUAGCUUCGAUAGAGAACAUUAGUGCUGGAAAUCGAUCUCUAGUUGAUAACCGCCCUUGCAUUAUGGUUUCCCGAGAAGGUAGUCUCCGGAGUUCAUCUGAAAGCGUAAAGAAAGGAUCGAAGAAGGCGAAUGAACGGUCCAUGGCGGAUCUUGAAUCAGGACUCGAAGAGAAGAGCAAGGGAACACGGAUUGUCAACCUCGUAAAUUCGAGAGCUGAGCUUUGCGAAGCUUGGAGGUGAAUGGCCUAAAUGCUAGGUCGUAGUCGGAGGGGGGGUCGGGGAAUGCCGACCGAUAAAUGUCGGUAAUGAUGUGUUUUGGUUUCAUUUACAUUUGGAAUUAUUGUGUAUUUGGGUUUCAUGUGUCUUAAAAUGCGACUUUGGGUGGAAAUUCUUUUAACCAUUUUCAUUAGAAUCAUUCUGACAUUUGCUCUACUAAUUUCUAACAUGUAUUGUUUCAUGGUACCUUUGUUUUUACAGUUUAUAAUCAAUCAAAGAUUCUUUGUGUUGCUGACCCCAAACAUGAUUUUUCAUGUUCUUGUGACUGUCUGAUUGCCAAAAGUUUGCAUAGCUUUGGAUGGACGGCGAGAUUUAAAUCAAUGAUGACGGUGAAAAUAGUUCUUGUAAAAAUGAAAUUUAGUAUUGUACCGGUGACAUUAAAACAAUGUUGGGAUGUGUGUUUUGAUUCAAUUGUAGCGGUGACGGUGGGAUGAAAGUAGAAAAUAAUCAUAAGAGCACUAAAUUAAAGCAAGUGUAUAUAUAAUAAAAAAUAAAAUAAUAUUUGUAUUAAAUAAUAAAGUAAUUAAAUUUAUAUUAAUGUUAAAUGAAAGUUAAAAAUAUUAAAGUGUUUAAAAUAUUAGAGAUGUUAGUUUAAAAUAUAUUUAUAAAAAUAUUUAUAUUAAAUAAUAAAAUAUAAAUUGGUCUUUUAAUAAUAAAUUAAAAUGACUCUUUUUGAAUUAAAUUAUUUAAAAUUAUUUAUAUAAAAUAAUAAUUAAAUUUAUAUUUAUGAUAACAAAAAAAUCAAUAUAUUUAUUAGAUUUUUAUAUAAAAGUUAAUCCAAACCAGUGCAAAAUCGCGAAAGCGCCAUUGUUGCUCUUUCUUCCUCAAUGUAUACAAGUUGACACUUAUCGCAAAUACAAUAAGAUAAUACAUCUUCAAUUAGCGCAAAAUCAGCCAUGGUAACCAUAAAACAAGAAAAUAAAUGAGACAUAUAAAAAUCCUGUUUAAAACAUGUAAAAGCUACGAGACUUGAGAGUUCACUUAAAAGAUUCAUUAUAUUUAAAGUUCUUAUUACUACAUCACAAUAUAAAGUCAUGAUAAAGAGCAUAUAACUCCAACAAGGCUAACAAUAAGUAAUUCAAGCAAACAAAUGAGAAAAGUCGAAAAACAUCACCUCUAAGGCUGAAUUUGAAAUUAAAAUCUUUAAGCUACAACACCCGAAUGAAAAAUCGAACCAUACAUGAUCAAAAUAUUUAAAUCUACUAGUCAAGCCCUAAAGUUAAUUCAAGCCAACCUCAUAUGAACUUGGAUUGAAGAGUUGAUCAAAACUGCUCAAGGUAAACAAAAACUAUUUUUUGUCACAUUUUUUUUCUUUUGACUCGUUUUUAUCAAAAAAUUCAGCAGCGGAUAAAACAAUAAAUUUUUACAAUUCAAAUUGUUAAGCUACAACUCCUCUAAUAAAAGUGAUCAUUUAACUCAAAGUAGAUUUUCUCGAGUCAAUGUCUCCGCGUUAUUUGAAUUUUUAUAUCCAAAACUUACUUACACGGGUAUAAAAUUUAAGUAGAUAGAUUAAACUAUAAUACGUCAUAGUUUUGGACUAAUAAUAAGUUGGACUAAGAGCAUAUCCAUGAACAAGGAAACUAAUUCAGUCCAAUUUCCAGCCCACCUGUAGAUUAACGUUAACGCUUUUCUUAAGAAGUAACGCAGAGUCAAACUCAAUUUGCUGCCUUUUCCUAACUUAAUGUUGCUAAUUUUUUUUCUCAAUUUCACUUAGGAAUUCGUUUUUGUUUCCAUAUGAAGCUCAACUUGAAGAUGAAUAUACGAUGCUGUCAGAGAAAUUUUUCUUCUGCUUUGCCGCCUCUGGUUCCCAUUCAACUUCCUUCUCCAAGGUAACGAUUUCUUUCUUUCUGUCCGUCUGUUUUUCCCCAAUUUGUUACUUUUAAUUUAGAAUUUAUGUUAUAUUUGCACUCAAUUAAUAUGGGUACCUCCCAAAUUUGCCUUUUUUUUUGGUGAUUUUCCAUGGGUUCUAGUUGGAGUUCCAAGCUCUAACAUCUGUGCUAAAAUUCUGAACUUUCUUUUCAUUGAUUCUUAUUUUAUUUUAAGGGAAACCCAUUUUUGGUAUAUAUUGCCUGACGAAGUGAAAAGUGUGGCUCUUCUAAAUCGAUAUUCUGAGCUCUUAUCGCCAUGUGAAAGAGAGAAUGUUAAUCGUAUGAGUGGAGAUCAGCUCAAGAAAAGAGCCUUGCUUGCUAGAGCCUUGGUUCGUACUACCAUUGCCAGAUGUAGGUUCCCUUUUUCUUUUUUCUGCUUAUUAUUUUAUUCAUAUCAUUCUUUUAUCUUUGAAUGUGUUGUAAUUGAUAAGAAAAAAAGCUAGUAUGCUUUUGUUUAGUCAGAAUUAGAUCAAGUUAUUGGUUUUAAUGUAACUAAAAUUACUCAAUUCCUGUUUAAUAUAUCAAUGUGUGCUAUGUUACUCGGCUUAAGAGAGUUAGUGUAGGAUACGGAUAUGUUUUCAUCACGGGGAUUCUCAAGUUUUUCUAUGUUCCUUUUAGAAGAUCAUCGGAAGGUCAUAUACCGUGAUGUCUAGAUAAAUGUUGCAUUCACCAUCUUAUUAGGGGUGAAAAUAACUGCUAGAAUCCUAGUAUGUGAUUUUGAUUUUCUCUUUAACACGUGAAGGUUCAAGAUAUUACUUAGAAUUGCGAUUAGGAUUCAUGAUCUCGAACCGAAGGAAUAGUCUUGCUUGUUGUUCUUAGUAUUAUUUUUAAGCUUCAUGUGUUCUUUUUGUAAGUGGUGUAAAAUGUAAUGGCCUUCUAGCAAUGCGAAAAUGCCUAUCUGCAAAGCAUGUUUUCGGCAUUUGUAUUUUAAAGACUAUAGAUUUCCUAUAUGACAUGCUCUGCAUAGACUACUAACAUAGUCUGUGUAUUGCUAGAUCAGACAAAUUGUGAAAUCAAUCCAAGAUCUUUGAAGUUUAGGAAGAAUAUCUACGGGAAACCUGAGGUAAGUUCCAACUUGGAUUAGUAAAGCAUUUGCAACCCUUUUGUUUGCUUUCUUAUCCCUCCGUUUCAUCUUUUCGAAUGUCAUUUUGUAUUCUCGCGUGCUCGUAAUUGUGUUUUUUGGCGCAUCUAAAUAGGUGGAGUGGCAUAGAGAUGACAACUUCAGCCCACCACCUUUGCAUUUCAAUAUCUCACACACAUCUUCGAUGAUUGCUUGCGGUGUGACAAUCAAUGCGCCGGUAAGUUGAUUUCCAUUCUUUUUCUUCUUACAUGAUGAGUGUCAGUUUGUCUUUGUUGUAAGUUUUGCUACUUUGUGUAAUCAAACUUGGUGCAAAUUUCUUACCUAAUUGUAGAUUGGCAUUGAUGUUGAAGAGAAGCAACGAAAACUAAAGAACGAUAUUAUAGCAUUUGCUCAACGCUAUUUUUCACCUUAUGAAGUAAAACUUUUAACUUCUAUAUCAGACCCUGAAGUUCGGCGUCAGGAGUUUAUUAAACUAUGGACUCUCAAGGUAAACAAGAUCUAUCAUGGUUGGAAUAUAAAAUAAGUAUUGCAUACAUGUUUUUUCUCAAGUGUUCGAGAAUCCCGAUAUCUUUUUCAGGAAGCAUAUGUAAAGGCAUUGGGAAAAGGCUUCUCAGCUAUGCCUUUCAAGACCUUUACCAUUCAGUUUAGGACUUCAACUUUAAGGUGUUUUCAUCUGCCAGGGAACUCAGUUUCCGAGGUUUGUACCCGAACUUUAUGAGUCCACAAACGUCAUCGUCUAUGUCACAAUAUGAAUGUGGGGAGUUAUAAAUUGAAAUUACUUAUUUAGUCCUGUAAAAACUAAAACUAAAAGCAUCGUUGAGUUAGUCAUUUCACCUUAUUGCUGAGCUUUUCGAUCGGAAGUUUAACAACAAGAGUAAAAGAAGAGACGUGCUAAAAGUAGCAUGCUAAAAGUAGCAUGGAGGACUUUAUACUAGGAGUCGGAUUGCAUUUUGCCCCCUUUACUCAAAAAAUGAGCAAAUUAGUCCCCAUACGUUAGAUAAAAAAACAAAUUAAUCAUUCACGUCAGGUGUAACUGUCUGAUUAUUUUGUUAGCCAUGUUCGUUUUUAAUAGUAGAAAUGGAUGAGAUUUUUAAUAAGAAAGACCAAUUUGCUCUUUGAUUUAAUGUACACGGAUUAAUUGGUCCAUUUUUUGUGUAAAGGGGGCAAAAUGGAAUCUGACUCUUAGUACAACAAGCUCCAAAAUACUUUUACCGAAUAGAAGUACACAAAGCUUUUAGCUUUUCGAUCGUUUCCGUGUAUUUUAAACUGAAUUAUAUCUUGUUUUUUUUUCUAUUAACGCUAGUAACAUUUUCAGGCAUCUGAGGUUAUUGUUGAAUCAUCCAAUGAUCCCGGGAACCUCACAAACAAUUGCCUAUUUGCGCUCUUGGAAGUUGCCGGUUCUCAUUACGCCGCCAUUUGUGUAGAAAAUGAUGAAAUUGUUAGAGGUUGGAUUCUGAUUCUCGUCGGUUUGCUUGUAGAAUACAUGGUUGCUAAAACGUUAAUGUUCCAUUCUUAGGUGAAGCAAAUACACCAAUGAAAUUGACCGUACGGAAAACCAUUCCGUUUGUUGAAGAUGUUUGCGUCUCCGGAACUGAUGCAGUUCUACCCCUACGUGGCAUAAUUGAACAAUAGCUGAAACUUGGGCGGUAUUUAUUUUUGAUAGAUUAUUGAUAUAUGGGAUGCAAUUGGCAAAUUUCGCAAUGUGCAUUUAGCAGAGGCAUGUCUGGAUCUUUUUUGGUUCUAGGCUUCAAACAUUAUCUAGAUUUGAUGAAUUAAUCCUCUGAGACUGAAGCAUUUGUUGCAGUCCAUUGUUAAUUGUGUAUUUCUUAAUUCUUAUUGUUUUUUUUCUUUGGCAUCUUUAUUUUUUAAAAUUAUCAUUCAAUUCGAGAGUGUGUUAAAUACUCGACUUGUAUAUAUUCAACCUUUCGGAUGUUUUUUCUUUCUUUUUUUAACAAUUUCGUUAUAGAUUUUAAUUAUAUCAUUUUCCAAUCCAUAAACAGGAGGAUAAUGAGUUUCAACGUACUUGAAUCUAUGUCUUUCUGUAUUGGUAACAAUGCUCAUGCCAAUUGAGGUAAGACUUCGAAUUCAUAUUUUUAUGCUCGUAUACAUAUUGAAUAUGAGUAUUAAAUAACUCAAACUCACAUGUAGAAUAAGUAAAAUUUUAUAUUUGUGUUAGUGGAUUUUUCUUUAUAGAAGACUAGAUUUUUGCCUAAGCAAUACUCGGUCUAAAUUACUAUGAUAACACUUAUUUAUUUUUUCUUAUGCCUUUUUUUUUUUCUUUAGAAGAUUUAGUAUUUAAUUGAAUUACUAUGAUAACACUUAUUUAUUUUUCAUUUGGAAUUUAGUUCAUAUACUUUUAUUUUUAGGAUUUUAGUUCUUUUGCUUUUCAAAUUUCAAAUUUUAGGUCCAACGAUUAACAUUGUUAAAAUCAUUUUAUUAAAUUUAAAUUUAUAUCAAGUUUUCAACCAUUUCUCAGCUUAUUGACACGUUAUUGCUCAAUCACCCCCAGGGCUCGUUUCUAGCCAAUUCGCAUGAUCUUUCACAUGUCAUUGAAUAUCACAAUUCAUAUGUGUGUAAUUGUACCAAAUCAACUCACAUUUCAUUUCAAUCCACCAUAUAACCUAGCCAAAUCAUGUUUAUAUAAUCCUAAUGAUCUGACUCGGAUUUCAAUAUAGAUAUAUGAAUUAAUCAAUUUGCAUCUCUAUCUGGCAUAGCAGUGCAUGAUUAGAUAACCGAAAGAAAGAUACUGGCACAAAUAGUGCAUCAUCAGACAAUCUGAAACAGUUAUACUGGCACACAUAGUGCAUGAUUGGAUAAACCGAAGCAAUCAUACUGGCACAUAAGUGCAUCAUCGAAUUUACCAAAGCAAAUAUAUUGACACAUAAGCUACAUCAUCAGAUAAACCGAAGCAAUCAUACUGACACAUAAGUGUAUAAUUGGAAGUACCAAAGUAAAUAUAUUAACACACGAGGCGCAUCAUUGGAUAAACUGAAGCAAUCAUACUGACACAUAAGUGCAUCAUCUAAUAGACCGAAGUAUAACCCGUACAGUUAAUAAGGUAACCAAAUUUCAAUUUCAUCGCAUAGUUCAAUUCACAUUUUAUCAUUCUCAAUUCAUCAUUAAUUCGAAUUCCAGUACAACAUAUAACAUGUACCACAUAUCAAUUAAAUCAUAAUCUUUUCUAUUAUAUUCAAUUUAGUUCUCUAUCUUCAUUUACUAUAUCAAUCACUACAAUUUAGCUCAUACAAGCAUUAUAUACUCACCUUAUUACUAAAUCAUAUAGUUUAACACGAGUACGCAACAAUUAGAUUGAUCUCAGGUCAUAAAAAUACAAACUGUAAGCUCACAUCAGUCAUCGUCGGCUCUCGCCUUUCCUUUCUCUCUCGGCAAUCUUGUGUCGUCUUUAGCUACGAAUAAUAAUUCCAUAAUAACACAGUGUCAAAGUCCCAAAUAAUAUUCAAAUUCAAAGUCAUACAUAACUCGGGACAAGCAUAACCAUCUACCUACUAUUUCUACCAAAAUUUCAUGACAAAUUUACAUUUUUUUUCAAUUUGAUCCCUAAUAUACGAAAUCAACAAUUAAACUUUACAAUUUAGUCUUUUUCUUAAACUAAGUUUAAUUUCUAUCAAAUUCACACCUAAUUCUUCAAGAAAUCAGCAACGGUAACUUUCUAAAACUUUAAAAGUUUUACAAAUUGGUACAUUAGCUAGCUAAAUCAAGCUCCCGUGACCUCAAAUCUAUAAAAAUUACAAGAAAAUAACUUGAAUUUCUUACCAAUUUAAUGGCUGAAUGUGAAAGCUUUUAAAUGGUUUUUCUUUCUUCUUUCGACCGUUAAUUGGCGAAGAAGAUGACGAUUAUCAAUCUCUUUCCCAUUUUCUUUAUUAUUUAUAGUUCAAUUAAGCUUAAUUAAUCUAGUUUAACUUAAAUUAAUCUAAUUUAAUUACGAUAAUCAAACUAUUAAUUUAACUUAGCGGAUUCAUCAUCAUCCACUUACAAGAUGAAAACUAAUAGUUUUAUAACCAUUUAAUACUUUGGGAAAUUGCUAUAUAGUUCGUCAAGCCUUUAGCUAAUUAAAAAUCUAUAACGAUUAAAUUUUUAUAAUUUAGUUCCUAGGUCUUACUAAAUUAUUUUAUCAAAUUUCAAUUCAUCUAUACACUAACUCUGUAAAUAUUCAUAUUUAAUAUUUAUGGAUUUGGUUUACGAAAAUGAGGUUCCGAGACCAUAUUUUUCGACACCAAUAAAAACAAGGUCGUUACAUGAUGCAUCUCAAAAUUCAUAAAUUGACCUUAAUGGAAAAUUUAGCACCAUAAACAACAAGAGUCGGAAAUAAACAAAUAAAAUAAAAGGAUAAAAUCUUAUAUUUGAUGACAGUAAAAGGGCUAAAUUUAGAAUUUGACCUUAACGAAACUUAUUUUAGCAGUAAAAAAUCUCUCUAGUCCCUCCAAAAAAAAUUGGAGUAAUUUAAUCUUUGUUAAUUUUGAAGGUGAGAAAUUAACGGCAAUUAAUUAUAGCGUUAAUGUCUUUCGUCAAUUGUGCAUAAAUUUAAUCAGUAUAAUAACAAAUUUAGCUAUCAAUAUUUACAUAUUUAGUUAAAUUGAUCUCGGUUCUAAAAAAAUUCAAUAAAAUUAGCCUCAACAUUUACACUUUGCAAAAAUAUUGCGGGCUAAAUUUGUUAAAUUAUGACUAAAUUGAUAGAAUGUGUAAAUUAUGAGAGAUAAAUUUGUUAUUAUGUUGGUCAAAUUUAUGUAAAAUUGGUGAAAAACAUUAACGAUGCGAUUAAUUGUCAUUGGUUGUUCACUUUUGAAAUUGGCAUAAAUUAAGAGAGGGGCCAAUUUGGUCGAAAUUAAAAUUGAGAGGGACUGGAGAGAUCCUUUUACCUAUUUCGGAGUAAAUCUCAAAUAUACCCCCGAUUCUUGAUUAUUUCAAAAAGGCCUACCAAAGUUGUCGUUUAAAGCAGGGUGCAGCUAAUGGCCUCACUGUAUAAAUAUCAAUCCAACUGCCGCCAUUAAAAACCCGCGCUCUGUUUUUGAAGCAUUUUCCUUUUCUCAUAUCCAUUUCCCUAUAAUUUUAUAAUUACAUGCGCCCAAAAAUAGCAAUAAAGAACUCUCUCGUUGCUCAGGAAUUUUUUCUAGCCUAGACCCUGUCUGUUUCUUGAGAAAAUCGAUGAUAAAAUCUUACAGAAUUUCCUUUUUUUUCCAGAUUUCUCGGCAGUCAACUCACUACUAGUUUGGUAUACCGUACAUUCUACGUCACAACUUUUUUUUCUGUAUUUUGUAGUUUUUGACUUGGAAAGAAUACAUCCAAAUCAACUGAAAUAACGACUGUUGAUAAAUAUUUGCUGGAAAAGCUGUAUAAACAAUCGAUUUAGACGGGAUUCCUUAGGUUAUGAGUAGUAUUUUUUUUUUUUUGCUUGAAAUUUGUCCUCCUUCAAACAAAAACUAUUUUUUGUCACAUUUUUUUCCUUCUGACUCGUUUUUAUCAAAAAAUUCAGUAGCGGAUAAAACAACAAUUUUUUACAAUUUAAAUUGUUAAGCUACAACUUCUCUCGUAAAAGUGAUCAUUUAACUCAAAGUAGAUUUUCUCGAGUCAAUGUCUCCACGAUAUUUGAAUUUCUAUAUUUAAGACUUACUUACACGGGUAUAAAAUUUAAGGAGAUAGAUUAAACUAUAAUACGUCAUAGUUUUGGACAAAUAAUAAGUCGGACUAAGAGCAUAUCCAUAAACAGGGAAACUAAUUCAGUCCAAUUUCCAGCCCACCUGUAGAUUAACGUUAACGCUUUUCUUAAGAAGUAACGCAGAGUCAAACUCAAUUUGCUGCCUUUUCCUAAGUUAAUGUUGCUAUUUUUUUUUUCUAAAUUUCACUUAGUAAUUCAUUUUUGUUUCCAUACGAAACUCAACUUGAAGAUGAAUAUACGAUGCUUUCAUCAGAGGGAUCGGAUAGAAUUGAUCAUUCUUUAAAAUCUUUGCUCUCUUCCUGUUACAUGAGAAUAAAUAAAGAUGGAUUGUUGUACUGGCCCAAUUUUGUCCGGCCCAAACUAAAAAUAGACAAACAUAAAUAAAUAAAAUAGACAAGUCUAUUAAAUAAAAAGUCCAAUUUACAAACCCAAAUACCACCCAAAACCCAUCUAGCCCAAUUAGCCCAAUCUAGAUCUCCUAAACACAUAUCAGGCUUAGAAUGCUCCUCAACAAGUUAGCUCGAAAAAGCUCAUACUGUGAUAUCUGGAGCACUUAGUUUCAUUUUUACUCACUCUAUGUUCUAGCAAUGUUUGUUAUUUUAGUUAAUCUUUUUACUAAAGUUUUACCUCAAUAAAUUUCAGUCUUUUCCAUGUUGCAACCUUGUUCAAGCAUUUUUGCAUUGAAAUAAUGAUUAAUGGACUAACAAUAUUAUAAAGUAUAAAAGGAUUUCUGCAUAUCACUCUGAAAAUUUUCUACAUAGUACAGGGACCUGAAAUAGGACCACUAGUUAGAAAUAACCAAAUUUGAAAGUUGGAAAGGUCUUGAAACGAAUAGUCCAGAUUGUGAUUACCUCUUCGGGUUUCCUGUCAAAGAUACCAGACUUGAAUGGAAGGCAUGGUAACACAUCAGUGAUAGCACUUGGACGAAUAACGAGCAAUGUCGGUCUAAGCACGAAAAAAUAGAUCAUUCUCAAAUGAAAUUUUGUAUUCAUACAAAUACCAUGCAUACACAUCUAGCUAAGAGCAUUUGAUUUAUUCCAAUCAUAUUAUCCUAAUCGCUUGGCAAAAAUAUAGGCCUAUAAAACAGAUUCUACAAGUCUUAUUCCCCAGAAAGCAACGUAAUGGAUCAAUGAAACAAUGAAUCUCAUCUCCACGAAGAUAUAGUGGAUCAAGAUGAAGUUACAAAUCCUACAUCUUGAAGUUGCAGUGGACUGAAUUGAAACUACAAUAGUGAAUUUUAUCUCCCUGAAGAUGCAACUGAGCAAUAUGAAACUACAAAUCCUAUAUCUUUGAGGUUACAGAGGAUCGAAUUGAAAAUAUAGUAGCGAAGCUUAGCUCUCUGAAGAUGUAGAGGAGUAAGAUAAAGCUACAACAUUGAAUCUUGUCUUUCUAAAGUUACAGUGAAACAGAUAAAACAACAAUUCCAAUCCCCCUGAAGUUGCAGUGGGUUGGAAUGAAAUUACAAUUGCAAACAUUAUCUCCUUAAAGUAGCACUAGAGCAAAAAGAAGUUGUGACACUAAAUCUUGCCUUCCUAAAGUUGUAGCAAAGCGGAUUCAAUGGAGUAGAGUAACCAAUGAAUAGAAAGAGUGGGUUACUUGAAAAAGAGAAGCACCAAAGAAGUUGAGAUUUAGUGAGAUCGGACAGAAUUGGUCCUCCUUUAAAGUCUUUACUUCCUUCCCGUUACUUGAGAAUAAGUAAAGAGGGGCAACUGUAAUAGUCCAAUUUUGUCCGGCCCAAACUAAAAUAGACAAACAUAAAUAAAUAAAUAGACAAGUCCAUUAAAUAAAAAGUCCAUUUUACAGACCCAAAUACUACCCAAAACCCAUCUAGCCCAAUUACCCAAAUUACCUAGAAGCCCAAAUACAAACCCAAGCCCAACACUCUAAAAAAUUAACUAGAAACCUUAAAACCCUAAAGUCAUCAAUGUUGUUUCCCUCGCCAGGUCAGCAAGCAUGUCGCCUAAGGUCUGACGCUUUCUCUGCUACCAUUUCACUGGAAUGGCAAGGGGCGUGACUCCCACCGCUGUUGACCAAAGGUCCCCUUGCCACCACCAUAAAAAACUUGCAAAAAAGGAAAGAAACAGAAGCAGAACAUUAGAGAAACAGAGAAAAGAAACAAAAAAAUAUUAUAACUCGAAUAUAAAGCCCAAAAUCUUUUGUAAACAUUUUUAACCAUCAAUGAAAAUAGAGAACAAAAAGAACAAAAACAGAUUAAAAAGGCAUUUUUUCAGUUUAAAUUUCAAUAACAUAAAACGAAAGUUAGUUUUUUUUUUCUUUUACCUGAACGCCGAUUCGCCUCCCUACGGUGGAUGGAUGAGGCCACUGUCUCCAAUGACAGACAGCCCCUCUCUGGUUUGAUAGGAGAGGCUAAGGUUCGCCCUUUUCCAAAAAGUAAAUGAGGAAACUGAAAAGUUUCUUCUUUUUUUUUCCGGCUAGUUAUUGGGAUGUUUUAGCCCUGGAUCCGUUUCCAAGGCUUCGAAAAGGUUCUAAAAACUUUUUUUUUAAUUUUCAGCCACCAGAUGUGGCGAUUGCCAUCGCCGAUGAUCGGUGGUUGCGACAGAGUUGCAGUAGCCAUAUGGUCGGACCAGGGGGAAGUUUUGAAAGAGAAAAAAAAGGUUUAAAAAUGAUUUUUUUAGAUUUUUUUAAUUUAUAUAGGGCCUCUGGUAUGACGUCAUUCAAGCUUGGCUUCAAAAGCCCAAAACGACGUCGUUUAGAGGAUCUAAGUGUUUUUGAGGGGAAUGGGCUAAUUGUUGUUUAAGCAUUUUUGUUUUUUUACUGUCUUUUAAUUUCGUCCCAUUUUUUAUUUCUAUCCUUUUUAUUUUAUUUUUGUGCAAUUUAGUCUCCCUGACUCACAGGCAACCCCUUUGGAUGUGACACGUGUGCAAUGGUGGGGAUAAUAGCCCUUUUAGUCCUUGUACCUUUUCACAUAUGCUAAUUUAGUCAUUUAUUUGCCUUUUUUUGUUGUUUUUGCAAUUCAGGCCUUAAAUUUUUUUAAGUUUCAAUUUAGCCUUUUAUUUAUUUAAUUUGGCCCUUUGACUUUCUGCUUUUUUAAUUUCCAGCACUCUUAAGUCAUGCUAUUUACAUUUCCCCCUUUUUAAAUUAUACAUUUUCCAUUUUCAUCCUUAAGUGAUUAUAUUUUUUUGUGUUCACUUUUAAUUAAAUAUGAUGUUGAUUUAUUAUUGAUUAAUGUUAUUAUUAUAGUUGUGUUUUUAUUACUUUCAUUUAUAUACUAUAGUAUUAUUCCACUUUCACUUAUAUAGCUAUUUUAUUUCAUUUUUGCCAUCAUCAUAAUUUAUAUUAUUCCUUGAAACACUUGUUCAUUUUCAUAUCACAUUCUAAUAAAUUAAUCGUAUAUCAAUAAGUGUUAUAUUCAUGUUUGCACAACACAAAAGAAGUAAUUAAAACCAAGGUGAUGUUUUCUUAUUUUGGGAUCGGAGUAUGACUUUCUCCUAGAAAUAAUUAAAUAUCUCUAUUAAAUUUGAAAAUAUGUAAGGUCUAGACAAUAAAUUAAGCGAUAAACAUUUUUAUUUUUGGGGAUUCAAGAUGUUAUGCCCUAACUUAUGGGACAUGACUUCUUUCGUCCUGAUCGACUCAAAAUAAGAAAGCCAUUCCCAUGAAAUUUAAUUUAGAUAGUGAUAUUUUUAAUGUUAUCGAAUAAUAUCAUGCAAAAUGAGGAUCGCAUUUUAAAUUCUCUUCGAAAUCUCAAUUCCCGACAUUAAGACAUGAAGUAAUCAACUAGGUACCAAUUUUGAGCGUUAUGAGGGUGCUAACCAUUCCUCAUACGUAACUAACUCUUGCACUCAUUUCCUGGAUUUUGUAGACAAAAAAUUAUCGUUUUAGUAAUUUUAACCUUUUAUUAAAAAUGAUUAAGUUUUGAGGUGAUCCAAUCAUACCUAAUAAAAAUGAUUGGUGGCGACUCCGUCUUCGUUUUAAAAUAAAAGUCGAGUUACCAAAAAAGGUUUCGACAAAUACAUAUUUGACAUAUAAGGAUGAUAAUGGAGCAAAGCGAGGUGGUUGAUGUUAAAUCCAUUACUGCACCACAACUAGCAUGCUCUGUUGCAUUAUCUACUUUGUUUCACUAUGAAUGUGUAAUAUUAAAAUUUACUACCAUCUUCAUAGAUGUUGGAUGCAUCUAUUCCCAUUCCACACUGCCUUGCUUCAAUUUUAUUUUAUUAAUUAUUUUUAAAUUUUUUACAAACAAGUAAAUAUUUAAAUAUAAAAUAUGAAAAUUUUGUUAUAUCACAUAUUUUUGCCUUUUAAUUGUUAUAAAUAUAUAUAUACGUCAAAUAAUAAAUUAAUAUAAUGGAGUGGGGUAAGUAAUCACUAAUAAAAUAAAAUUCACCCACCUCAUUCUGCGUCCACUUUAUUCGGAUCUUAUCAUCUUCGAACAUUGGUAUAUAUUUGGAGGGUCAUUUUUCAUAUCUAUAUUAGACACAAGUACUUUAAGGAAAAAAUAAGAGGCAAAGCAACAGAGCUUGUACACAUUCCAAUAGUUAGUUAUUGCUUUGCCAAGUCACAUCUUGCUACUUAGGGCCAGUUCGUUAUUACUUUUGAAAAGUACUAUGGAAAAACAUUUUUGAGAAGUGCUUUUGAAAAAAUUGAGUGUUUUGUAUUGUUGUCAAAAAGUACUUUUGAGAAAUAAAAUGUUCAUUUUAGACAUGAUAUUAUAAAGUAACAAAUAUGUAUUUAAAUAAUGUUCAAAUUAGUUAAUUUUAUGAUAUUUUAGCAAAAUUAUAAAAAAUAACUUAUCAUAACUUAUUGUUAAUAUUUUAAUAUAUAAUAUUAAAUUUAAAUAUUUCUAAGUAAUUAAUAUUAAUUAUUUAUUAAAUUUAAUUAGAAUAUAUAAACUAUAUUUAAAUAUUUAAAUAUAAUAAUUAGAUAUUGACACAAUUGUAUUAUUAUAAAAAUUAUUUUUUAUUUUUAAUUAAUGCUUUUAACACAUUUGUAUUGUUUUUAUUUUAAAAUGUAUUUGAAUAUAUAACUCAUAUUAGAUAUUAACAUAACAUGGAAAAUAUAAACCUAACAAAUUAAAAUAUUACAUAUAUUUAGAUUAAAAUUUUAAAAAGGGAUAAUAUUUAUAUACCAAAUAUAAAUACUAAAAAUUUUGGGGGAAGACAAAGGUUAAAAAUGUAAAUAGAAGCCAAAAGCACUUUUUAGCAUAUGGAGAAGUUAAAAAAAAUGCUUUUUUUAAGUUGAAAAUUUUUCUGAGAUAAUGUCUGUUCUUUAUUACUUUUCAAGAAAAAACAUUUUUACAUGCAAAAGCUCAUCUGAAAAGUAAUAAAGAACGCAUCCUUAGUAUCCUACACACCUGUUCUAUCAUUAAGCACUCAUAUUAUUUAUUUCUCUAAUUUUUCAAUCAUGGUAGAUGUGUCCAGCUAUGAUCAGCUUUGUCAGCAUGCAAAUGGAGAGUUCAAACACCUAUUCCUUUGUGGUUGAUAAUGUGUUGGUGAAUAAAUUUGUCAAAUCAUUGCUCUAAUAAAUUUGUUAGAUUUUUAUAUAUAUAUUUUCAAUAUUAUAUUUUUAUAUUUUUUUUUUCAUUUUAUCUCUGUUAAUAUGAAUUAUAUAUCUCAGAUUAUCUUUAUAUAAGAUAGUUAACUUUUUAUUUACUUAUUUAUAGAGGUAAAUCACAAAUUUUCUCGAGUUAAUAAUUUUAGUCAAACUAUGAAAUGUUUAGCUUGUAACCUAUAUAAGAUAGUAAAAUUUUACACUUGAUGGUAUAUGUUGGGUGUUCAUACUUUUGUUACUUUAAGCAUUUUCUUUUUGGGUAAACUACACCUAUGGUCACUUUUGUUUACCUUAGGUUACAUUUCAGUCACUUAUUUUUGAAAUGUUACGUUUUAGUCACUUACGUUAUCGUGUUGUAACAUUUUAGUCACUGAGCCGUUAAUUGUCGUUAAUGGUGUAAUGGUAAGCUGAUGGCACGUUAAAUUAUCAUUUCAAACAAAAACUUUAGGUUAAAUUAUACAAUUAGUCCCCAUAAAUUUUUGUUUUGAGCAAUUUAAUUCUUUUAUGUUCUUUUAACUUUCUUUCUUUUUUUUUUCUUUUUUUUUCAUUCUCUUAUGCUUCUCCCUCUGUUUUCCUACAUUCUUUAUUUCUUUUAACAUACCAGGAAGUCGAAUUGGUAGUGAAGAAAGAAGCAUAGUAUGGGUUUAUGGGUUUUGGUUAUAGGGUUUUGGUUAUAGGCAAAUGAUGACAAUCGACUUCCUACUUCUUUUUUCACUACCAAUUCGACUUCCUAAUAUGUUAAAAGAAAUGAGAAAUGUAUGAAAACAAAGGGAGAAACAAAAGAGAAUGGAAAAAAAGAGGAAAGUUUAAAUAACAUAAAAGGAAAAAAUUAAAUUACUUAAAAGGAAAAAAUAUAGGGAUCAAUUGUAUAAUUUAACCUAAAAUUUUGUUUGAUAUGAUGAUUUAACGUACGUCAGCUUACCGUUACACCAUUAACGACGAUUAAUGGCUAAGUGACUAAAAUGUUACAACAUGAUAACAUAAAUGACUAAAACGUAACAUUUCAAAUAUAAGUGACUAAAAUGUAACCUAAGGUAAACAAAAGUGACCAUGGGUGUAAUUUACCCUUUCUUUGUUUGAAAUAAUAUACUUGUAAAUGAAGUUAUUUAAGGGAAAGUGAGUGCAAAUAGUUGGGCAAUAGUGAGAUUGUAAUUAUCCAUGUUAGUUUUAUCGAAACACUUGUUGCAAAAUCAAUUUAGACCUUAAAUUGAAACAAAGGUAAAUCAAAGUGCUUUUUCAAUAAUAAUUAUUUAUAUUAUUUGUAUAAAUUUUUAAAUAUUUUUAUUAAAAUAAAUUAGAAUAAAACUAACUAUUUCAAAUUUUUUGAAACCAAUAGUGACGUAAGAGAUAAUAAAUGUGUUUAUGGACCAGGUCGGGAUGGGUCUAAGUAUAUUAUUAAUAUAUUUUAUGCCCGGAAUAUGAGUUUAAAAUUUUGCCAAAGUUUGUCUAUAUUCAUAAAUGGUUAACUCAAGCUCCUCUUAAACCCAUUCAUAUUAUUAUUUUUUUAAAAAUUUUAAAAAAUAUAUUUAUAUUAUUUAAAUUUAAUAAUUUAAUAUAUUUUUUAUUUAUUAAAAAAUUAUAUGUAAUUAUCUUAACAUUUUUAAUGUUUACGUUAUAGUAAUAUUUAUAUAUUACUGUAUAUUUAAUUUUUAUGUGUUGUAAAUUACAUGAUAUAAAAUAUUACAAACUAAAGAAAGAGUCGGUCCGGACUUGGACCUUGAAUGUUCUCUCCACUAUGAAAAGUUACAAAAUUACCACUAAACUAUUCAAAUUUGUCUUAUUAUUAUUAUCACUAGUUGACUAACAGACAACUUUUAAAUUUGACAUAAUAGUAAUUUUAACUCUCAAUAUUAUAAAGAAGCGCAAAACUCAAUAUAAUGGAAACACCAAAAAAUUCAAGAUAAUAAAUUUCAUAUUAUCUCAUUUUUAAAAAAAAUUUACCCCCAAUAUUAUAAAGAAGAGCAAACAAACAAAAAACUAAAUUACACAAUGCGUAAAUAUCGAGAGUUAAAUUUUUUAUAAUCAAUAUUAAAUUUGACAUAUUUUAUAAAUGUUGAGAGUUAAAGUUGUUAUUAUGCUAAUUCUAAAAGCUACCAUUGUUAGUCAGAUGGUGACCAGAAAAGAUAAAAUUGAAUAGUUGGAUAACCAUUUUGUAACUCAUAUUUAGGUGGCCAAAAUAGAAAUUUACUAAUAGUUGGAUGAUAUUUUGUAACUUUUCAUAGUUAGAUGACUAAAAAAGAAAUUUACUAAUAGUUGACUGACUACUAGUUAAAUUUACCCUAAUAAUAAUGAUGUGGUAAAAUCACUCGAAUAUAAAGGCCGGCGAAAGUAAAGCGCCCGUCCCCUAACUUUCUUUCUUAAAACUCAAAAUUAGGGUUUGCUUUAACAAAAUCCCUCAGCAUUCUCUGCUAGAUUUCCCUCCUUUUCUUCAAAUUUUCCUGCUCGGUAAUUUCUCUUUGCUUUCUCUUUCUAAGUUCAUGUUCACUGUUCUCGAUUCUCUUCUUUGUGCUUAAUGCUGAUUGUUUAAUCCCUCUCUCUCUCUCUCUCUCUCUCUCUCUCUCUCUCUCUCUCUUUUCGGUUAGCCAUUUAUUGAAUUCGAAAUUGUUGUAGGCUUACUGUUUUUAUAUUUUGAUUAAAUUCGUUAAGCUAUUCUGAAGUGAUAAUCCAUGAACAUGAAGUCUUGAAAAACAAUGGAAUUCGUAUUUCUGUUUGUGUAAAAUUUCAUGAAUUUGUUGUUGAAAUAGCGUCGUAAGCAAUAGAUUUAUGAAAGAAAUAAUGUUUUUGCUCCUUUGCUGGAAUCUCGUAUUGUAUCCCUUCAAUUUCUUUAUAUUCUCCCUUUUAGUUUAGUUCAAUUUCUUAUUCCUUACUUUUUGCCUUUUGUGUUUUUCUUUCCCUUUUGCCCUUUUGGUGAAUGCAUUUCCCAGAUAUAUAAUUAAACGGUAGAACUGGCCAUUGUCUUUUUUUGGGGGCAAUCUAUUAUCUAACUUUCAAGAAUUUCACUUUGUUGAGCAUCUGAAUCCUCUUGAUUAUCGUUCAGAACUUUCUCUUUCUUGUCUCUAUUACUAUUUGUACUAUUUUGUAAUUCCCUUUUUUGAGAGUCAUUCAAGUUGCGACUCCUGUGAAAGCCAUAUUAUCUUCAUGGCACAGAUUCAAACAAAAUUCUUAUUCUGCAACUCCAUUUGGCCUCUCAUUUUUGUUUCCUCCUUUCCACAUUUGGACUCUUUUCUUUUGUCAAUGCUUCUGGCUUCUGUGCUUCCUUCACAGUUGCUUUGCAAGCUUGGUUUAUUAGAUUACAUAAAAUGCCAAGGACAAGGGAAGAGAUUGAAGAGCAGGUGGACCUUGAUGGAGACAAUGAUCCUGAGGAGACUAUAGAGGAAGAGGUUGAAUAUGAAGAAAUAGAGGAAGAGGAGGAAGUGGAAGUUGAGGAAGAGGUAGAAGAGGAAGUGGAAGUAGAAGAAGAAGAAGAGGACGAGGAUGCUGAGCUUGUUGAUUUCCAGAAAGGCUCUGAUGCUAAUGAGGGGAUGGAUGAUUUUGAAACAGAGGAAGAAAAGAAAAAGAUGCAUGCGGAGCUUCUUGCACUUCCUCCUCAUGGGUCAGAGGUUUACCUUGGUGGCAUUCCUCAUGAUGCUUCUGAUGAGGACUUGAGGAGGUUUUGUGAAUCUAUAGGAGAAGUCAUAGAGGUAACUUUUGCUAAUUUCACAAUGUCUGGCUGUAUUAUUCUUAUUUUGGCUGACUAGGUCAUGAUUAUAGGUUAGGAUAAUGAAGGAGAAAGAUUCAGGGGAGGCCAAGGGUUAUGCUUUUGUGACCUUCAGAUCCAAAGAGUUGGCUUCCAAAGCUAUUGAAAAUCUGAAUGGUUCUGAAUUCAAGGUGAGAAAGAAUGGUCUGCAGAUUCUAGUAGGGCUUAACAUUAAAUACGUGCUGUUAUUUGUUUGUAUCCAAUUUUCGUCUUCCUUUUUGCUUCCUAUGAAUUAAGUAGACGAAUAGUGGCUUUGUUUUUUUCCAAUUAUUUUCACCCCUGAAGCUUUUUUCUGUUUUCUUGUUUACUCUUUUUGCCUUCUUCAGGGGAAGAAGAUAAAAUGUUCAACAUCUCAAGCAAAGAAUAAGUUAUUUAUUGGUAAUGUUCCCAGAAACUGGGGGGAGGAAGAUGUGAAGAAGGUUGUAAAAGAUGUUGGUCCUGGAGUCAAUAGUAUUGAAUUGUUGAAGGUUUGUGCAUUAGUGCAUUUGUUGUCUGUCACUUCCAGAUUUUUGAGACUGAUGUAAUUCAAUUAAAAGUUCCAUGUCUUAUGUGCCAAUUUAUAUCAGCUAUUGAUACAAUGAGCUUGACAUUGAUAGGAUCCAAUGAACCCUAGCCGAAACCGUGGAUUUGUUUUCAUAGAGUACUAUAAUCAUGCAUGUGCUGAAUACUCAAGACAGAAAAUGAUGAAGCCAACAUUUAAGCUUGAUGAUAAUGCUCCAACCGUGAGUUGGGCAGACCCAAGAAGUGCAGAAUCUUUUUCCAAUACUCAGGUUUUUUAAUCUUAUUUGCUGAAUAAUGCAUUGUGGCUUUAAUGCUUGGCCUUAUUUGCAGAAUAAUGUGCACAGGGAGUUGUCUAGUCAUAAUGUUUGAUAUAUUGCAGGUUAAGGCUUUGUAUGUUAAGAAUUUGCCAAAAGAUAUAACUCAGGAUCGCCUAAGGAAGCUGUUUGAACAUCAUGGAAAGAUCUUGAAAGUUGUAGUUCCACCUGCGAAAGUUGGAAAGGAGAACAGCAGAUAUGGUUUUGUGCAUUUUGCGGAGAGGUCAAGUGCCAUGAAAGCAUUGAAGAACACUGAAAAAUAUGAGAUUGAUGGUAGGAUAUACAUCUUGUACCUUACAGAUUUUAUUAACUUCUGUAUUUUCCAUGGAGAUUAAGGGCAUCAUUGAUGUUAUUUUAUUGGGUUUUCUGUUAUUGAAGGUCACGUAUUGGAGUGCUCUCUUGCAAAACCACAAGCGGAUCAGAAGUCUGGAGCAUCUGGCUCCCAGAAGUCAUCUCUAGAUUCAAGCUUCCCACCUCUUCUCGGAUAUGGUUUAGUUGGGGGAGCAUAUGGUGGUCUUGGGACAGGAUUUGGUCCUGCUGGCUUUGGACAGGUUAGAUACUUUUUUUCACUUUGUCUUCUCAGACUUCAGCCUUUUUAUGCUCAUUUGUAAUUGGAAAAAGUUGGAAAGUGAAAUAGUUGACAUUUUUUUAAGGGAAACAAUUCGAAUGGGCUCAGAUCUCUUUUAGAUUGAACUUGGGUUUUUUAUUUGUGAAUACUGGGUGAUUAAUCUAAAAUUGGCACAUAAGUCUGCACUGGUUGUAUCCUGUUAUUUCUCUAAUACUCCCUUCAGGAAUGUAAAGGAACAUUGCACUUGAUAAAGAAUAAGAAAGGCACCAUUCUUUCCUACAUCAAAAUUUCUUUUCUUAUAAUAAGUUUGUGAAUAUCCUAUGGUAGACAUUGUUAUGCGAGUUGACCGUUAGACAUUGCCUAUAAUAAGGUGCCACUAUUAAUUUUUGACCUUUUGAAUGCGUGUACUUGAUUUUUUGUUUUUCUUUAGCACCAUUUUAUAAUGUUUUACUUAUAUUUAUGUUAAAAUCUUGCAGCCAUUGAUCUACGGUCAAGGUCCAACCCCUGCAGGAAUGGCAAUGAUGCCAAUGCUUUUACCUGAUGGAAGGAUUGGAUAUGUCUUGUAAGUUCUAACAAUGCUUUUGUGGUGCAAUUGAUCAUGUGAGCCUGUGCUAUUGUUCUAUGUGUGCAUGCGUGUGUGUUUUGACAUGACUGGUGCAUGUGCUACCCAUUCAUUUCUUAUUUUGUUUUAGUCCAUGAUGACGCUCACUUGAGAAAUUGCUUACAUUUUGGUACAGGCAACAGCCUGGAGUGCAACCACACACCCCUCCACCACAGCCCCAUAGCAGCCGAGGUGGUGCUAGUGGUAGCAGUUCGAGUGGUGGAAGGCGGAGCAGCAAUGACAGUAGCCGAGGACGGCGUAGGUAUAAUCCAUAUUAGUUUAGUUCCCAAUUUCAUGUUUUUCACGGUCUGAAGCUUAGAACGAAUCUGCUUGAGUUGUAUUUGAGGCUAAGCAGUAAGGAUUACCCAAUUAGUUUCUGUUUUAACAUAAUUUGAUGGCAAAUGUAGCUGUAAAACCAUAACUGAUAUUUAUUUGAUGGCUGAUGCCAAUUCCAGUGAUCAAAAUUGCCCAUUAUAUUUUUUAUUUUAAAUUAUAAUUAUAUAUUUAUAUCAAUCAUUCUUUUAAUAUUUUUUUUUAAUCUGGCUAGGCCAAAGCAAAGAAAAUAAAGAAUUUUAGCCACAACUUGGCUCAGCAAUGGACAUAAUUAGGCCAAAAUUUAGUUAAAUUUAUUUAUUAUAAUCUGAGUUCAAAUUAAAUAAAUAACUUCAGAUGUUUGAAUUUAGUAGGUUAAAAAAAGUUAGGCUCCUAUCGAUGUAAAUAUAAAAUAUGAUAUUUUUGUACCAAUUCAUAUAAAUGUAAUUUCUUUUUAUCUUUUUUAUCAUAAAGAUUUAAUUAUCAAACAUGUUGAAAACAAGUGUUUAAAUUCGUUUAUCAAUUUUUUUAAAAAAAGUAAAAAAUACUUAAAUUUUUUAUAUUAUCCGGAAACAUAAACAUAAAGAAAUUCGGAUAAAAGAUUUUUGAGUACUAAUACCAAUAUUUAGUUUGAAUAUAUUGUUGAUGAUAAUUAAAAUAUUUGAAUUUAAAUAUUAAUUAAAUCCAUAAAUAUCAUAAUUUGCAUUAUUCAUCAUCAUUCCAAUUUAUGUUCGGUUUGUAUUACUUUUUAUACGAAUUUGCUCAUGUCAUGCUAAAACGUAUUCUUUUCGUCACGUUCAAAAUAAAAGUUAAAUUCUGCUAUAAAUCCAUUUACUUUGCGAAAGUUUUGGAUUUAAUCCCUAUACUUUAAUUUGAUCAAUUUUAGGCCCUAUAUUUUUUAGAUUGGUCAACCUUAGUUCCUGUAUGAUUCUAAUUUCGAAUUUUUAGUCCUCACCUAAACAAUAGUAGUUAAAUUUAUUUAGUUAAAUUUAAUUACUAGUCUUAUAUUAUGUGUACAGUCGUAGAUUUGAUUCAUAUUCUCAAAUUGAAUCAUUAUAAGUCCCUAUACUUUUCGAAUUUUAAAAAUUUAAUCUUGAUGCAAAUGAACCUCAUUAAUCUAUUAAUUAGAUUUUUAACAAGUAAUAUGUAGAAAUAAUAAGAUGAUAAAUCAUCACAUAUAUGACAAUAUGUUUGGCACAUCAUAUUUUAAAAAUAACAGAGUUUAAUUUAAUAAAUUUAAUAAUAAUGGUUUGGUGAUGGCUGAAAUUUUAAAUUUUAGAAAAUAUAAAGACCGAUCAAACUAAAAUACAAAAAAUUAAAUCCACAUCUUUCAAAAAAAGAGAAGAAGAAGAGAAUUUAACUUAAAAUAAAUAAAUUUGAGAUUUAGAAAAAUACUAAUGUUUUAUUCAUCCAUAGAAAACUAGUUAAUGCUAUUGUGAAUAAAAGUAAAAUUUACAGAGAUUAUUAUUUUUGGGAUUCGUGAUUACCACUCUUAAUAAUAUUAUUUCUUGGAAAGUUUGAGUUUGAACAUUGCCUUCAAGAUUAUUGUUGAUCCUCCAACAUUUGUUGAUGUUGUUGGCAAAGUUCACAAUCCGGAACAGUAUCCUUUUGUUUCAAUCUCUUAAUAAUCACCGGCAAAAUAGUUUCCGGUGCCUGACGGAGCCUAUCCACUAACCAUGACCCAAAUCCAUUAUACAUUUUCACAAGGUAUCUAUAAUUAGAACUUGUGAAAUACUCAUCCACGUCCGCCAUUGUUGGUUCCUUAAUUUUCCCAUCACUGAUAUCUUGAAAUAGUUUCAUUGCGUUCUUCUUCGUGGAGCGCAACCAUUCCAUCUGCAUAUCCCUUACAAACACCUCAUCUUCUAUUUUAUUCAUCACCAUUUCUUGUUUCGUAACCUCGGGACGUUUCUGUUUAUUAGUAUUGUAUACACCUUUUGAAAAAGUACUGAAAUUCAACACUUGUUUCCCAAUUUCAUCAAUCUCAGUAUUAUAAACUCCCGAUAGAUUUUCCGAUAGAAGAUAAUAGUUUUCUGUCACCUUUUCAAGCUCUUCUUCUUCGGGUUUAUUAAUCUCCUUUUUGGGUUUCGUUAAAGAUGAUGACGAUGGUCCCUCUCGUUUAACUUUAUAGCUUUCCGUCACCUUUUCAAUCUCUUCUUCAGGUUUCUUUUUUUUGUUACCGAUUUUCGAUUCUAAUGACGGCCCUUUUUGUCGAGGUUUACAGCUUUCUUUAACAAUGUCCACCUCUUGGUUUCGUUUUUUUCCUUCAGACUCCGAUGAUGAUGAUGAUGUUGGUCGGCUUAUAUUCGUGUAAAACUCAAAAAGAUGAUCAAAUUCUUCCCCAAAAGCAUGAAAAUUCUCAGCGAUGGCGGUUUUCAGAUCAACCAUUAUGAUUUUCCCAGUACCAUAAGCAUAUAAAUGUUUCAACAAAUCCAAAUACUUAUCGUAACCGGUUUGCUUCAUUACCUUUUCACAAAACUCCAUUGCUUCAGCCAAUUGAUCCUUAGUUUCAUUCAAGCCAUCGAUUUUUCUAUCUUCAUCGGAAGCUAGCUUCCUCUUCCCUUUGUUACUACUAUCUGCUGAUUGAACUCUACGAGUUACGCCAUUAGCUAAGCUUAAAACGAAUUGAAACUGAGUAAAAAAACCUGGGUAUUCACGAAGUAAAACUUCUACAAUCUCAUUCAAACGAUAAACGGUGAUUCCUCCAUUGUUGAAUUCAUCGACACAUUGCAACAAAAGCGUAUAUUGAUCAGCUUCCAUAUGUUCCUUCACCCUUUCAAGAAAAGCUUCCAUCUUUGACUUGCGGAAACUCAAAUCAGAGGCAUCCAUCUUAAACAAAUCUGAUUUACUGCUAUUUCUUAAAUUUUUCUUGAAGUUCUUUCUAAUGGAAUUUUAAGCAUGAAUUAAAUGCUAAUCGGACUUUGUUUGCUAAAAGGAGUAGAAAGGCACAAUUUUAUUCAACUUAAAAGACUUAUAUUCAUAGUUGGUAUAGGAAAAAAAUAAUAAUAUAACCGUCUUUUAUUUUUUUGACCCAAUAAUUUAAAAAGUUGUGAAAAAUUGAUUGAGUUAUGAUUUGGUGGAAUUUUAAGGUGGUGCCGCCUUGGGUAGUGGCGGCACCGAAUUACACUAUAAAUUUCAGGUCAUUCCCAUAAUUAAUCUGGAAGUUGGGUCAUUUUUAUAAUUUUUUUUAAAAUUAUAGGGUCACUUUUCUAAAAAGGAUAUUAUAUGUUUAUAUAGUAUAGAUAAAAUAAUGUGUAAAAUAUUCUUAAAAAAUGUCAGUUCUUGUAUCCGCAGAUUUUGAUAUAAUAUCCUCGAAAAUCAUGAAAAAAAACACCUAAUUCGGCAAAUGGAUUAAACCCCCAUUCUCUUCCAUGGAUAAAACUUGAGUUUCAAAGCCAUUCUCAUUAAGGCAAUAAACAUGGAUCACAAACCCUAAACAAUCACAUAAAGAUAAAGAUAAUGAUGAAUAAGAAAUUAAAUUACAUAUGAUCAACAGGUGCUGUAUUUGAAUAACUUUACACUGAAAAGACAUUUCAUACGUAAAAUAACAAAAAAAGGUAAAUUAAGAUUAACUGAAAUCUCUGAAGAGCAUAACAAUGUUCUUCCCUAAAAAGCAAAGAGCACCAAUGGAGUUUGUAUCAAACAUGGUCAUUACAUGAUCAACUCAUUCAUAAGCAAUUAUUCUAUAGAAAGCAUCAACAACCAUUUCAUGGAUGUUGUAAAAUAUAACUAGGUUUAUAUGUUGUAACAGCUUUAAACAUAUACUUACUUGGACUACUACUACCAGUGUUGAUGUUCAAUUCAAGGAUGCAUCUCGGGGUGGUUCGAUCCAUAUGUUCUCGAACGGAUCUUGUUCUCCCCAGUCAUGGCACUCUUUGCGAGGGUAGUAUCUACGGUCAUCAACCGAGUAUGAUAUGCAUCGCUUUCCAAAGAAACGAACCUUAGAGAAGUAGACAACGUUCCUCAUUGCACCAGGGAGUUCGGUUCUUGAAUGAGACGACAAGAAACUAGCAAAUAGUGUCACACCGUUAAGGGUUUGCAUUUCUUCCCAUACCAUUUCGGAAUGAUCCAAUUUGAAUAUGAUGGGGGUCUCAGUAUUACAAGUAUAGAUAACUAAGAUAUCUCCAUCGUGCUCUGCCAUAAAUUUUCCUUUCCACCAAUUUUUGGCAAAAAAGUUCUCAGGGCAUCUCGGAGGAGGCACAUGAAGAACACUCCAAGCGCGCAGCAGCGGAUCAUAGACCCCUAACCAACCAGUGAGGCUAAGACAAUAGAACAUUCCACUGCAGAAUACCAUUUUGUUCCAAAUGCUACUAACGAAUGGCAAUCGGUUCUGGUGAUUAACAGUGGUCCACUCAGAAUCCCCAGGACGACAUGUGCUAAUAGCGACAACAGUAGGGCUGAUGUGCUUAAUCGUAAAAACCACACACAGGUCAGAUGUUGGGGCAUCGGAGAAGGCAACCAUCUGAUAUGUCAACUCAAAUCUGGGAAGCUUAAUCAUGUGGCGAUUGAAGGGAUUAAAGAAGAACACACCAUGAUUUCUGGGUCGGUACAGCAACAACCAACCAUCUUUGGUGUAACAAGCCCUGGAUCCUUGUAGCUCUGGCAGCUCGAGAGAGUAGGUUUUACGCUCUGCUGGAUCAUAGAACUCAUACAAGCUACCAUAUUUUGGAAAGUACAUAAGCCACGGUGAUUGGUUAACCACCCGGACUGCAACUGCAACCUUAUGCCACCUCCUACAUACAGCAGAAGCUCGAACAUUGUCCUCUAGUGUUAGGCGGCACAGAAUCAAUUCCAAAAGUUCCACAGGAAGAUCAGCCCACGUUUGUAGCUUCAAACUCUCCUCCUCCUCGGUUGCUUUUUUUUCAUCCAAAUUUAUUGUUUCGGCUAACCUAUACAGCCAAAAGGAUUAUUGUUAUUCAAAUGCCAUUAUCAGUUAUAACUACUAAAAAGAAAAGGGUGGCAAAGAAACCCAGAGAAGAACCCUAAAUUGCUCCAUUAUGUCGGACAGCUUAUCAUGCUUUAGAACAAAUUCAGUGUGCAAUGCUUGCUGUUUCUUGAACCUACAACUGAUCAAGUUUUGAAAAAGAGCAUAUCUUUAUCUUCUAUUCAUUACAUAUUGCAUGCUAAAAUGGUACACGCCGAAAAGGUACUUAUUUGACUUAACCAUAAACACUUCCCGAGUGGAAAAUUUAAAGCAACAGUACGUACAGUUAGGAAAGAAACAACAACCGUUGGUUACACUUGUUGCUAUUAGUCACUGUAUUAAAUAUACAAAAUACUUCAUAUUCACAUUCAAUCGUGUCUACCAUUUAAGUCAAUAUUCCUAUUCAAGAAAGGCAUUAUUUGUCGUAUAGCCUAAAACAAAAUUAGCAAAUAACACAUGCACCAUGAUUAAAAAGAUUUUCUUUAUAACCUUUCUUUGAUAAGAUCAAUCUCUAUAAAUUUCACCAUCUCAAGUAACACAAAAACAUCGAUCAAACAGUUACAAGUAAGAUCUCUAUAAAUUUGGCUCAAAUAACACAAUCAUUGAUCAAACAGUGAUAAGUAAGAUCUCGAUAAAUUUGACUAUUUCAAGUAACACAAGGAUAAUAAUUUCCAUCUGAUUUCAUGAAAUGGAAUUGAUCCUGGUUACAAGAAUGUUGAUAUUUUAUCAAAUCCUAAAUGAAAACCUAAGGCUUUGUUAAGUAGCCCCUUAUUGGUAGUACAAAAGUCCAAAGAAGUCACAAAUCGUAAAACGACAUUAAACAUGCAACCGUCGGUUUCACUUGUUGCUAUUAGAAGUCACUGUAUUAAACAUGCAAAAUGCUUCAUAUUCACAUGCAACCAUAUCUACCAUUUAAGUCAUAUUCCUACUUAAGAAAGGGAUUUUUGUCGUAUAGCCUAAAACAAAAUUAGCAAAUAACACAUGCACCAUGAUUAAAAAGAUUUUUGUUAGAACCUUUCUUUGAUAAGAUCAGUCUCAAUAAAUUUGACUAUCUCAAAUAACACAAAAUCGAUCAAAAAGUGAUAAGUAAGAUCUCUAUGAAUUUGACGAUUUCAAGAAACACAAGGAUAACCAUUUCCAUCAUGAUUUCAUGAAAUGGAAUUGAUCUUGGCUAGAAGAAUGUUGAUAUUUUAUCAAAUCCUCAAUGAAAAUCUAAGGCUUUGUUAAGUAGCUGCCUAUUGAUGGUACAAAAGUCCACUAAAAGAAGUCACACAUUGUAAAACGAAUUUAAACAUGCAACCGUCGGUUACACUUGAAGCUAUUAGAAGUCACUGUAUUAACCAUUUAAGUCAUAUUCCUAUUUAAGAACGGUAUAUUUGUUGUAUAGCCUAAAACAAAAUUAGCAAAUAACAUAUGCACCAUAAUUAAAACGAUUUUCUUUAAAACCUUUCUUUGGAAAGAUUGAUCUCUAUAAAUUUGGCUAUCUCAAAUAACGGAAAACAUUGAUCAAACAGUGAAAACUAAGAUCUUGGUUAGAAGAAUGUUGAUACCUCAAUGAAAAUCUAAGGCUUUGUUAAGUAACCGCGUAUUGGUAGUACAAAAGUCCACCAAAAGAAGCCACAGAUGGUAAAACAAUCUUAAAUUUUAAUCCUCCAUUAACAGUACUCUGCAUGCAAAUGAGUUACUCAAGAACUUAACAAGCGGUAACAACUCAAAGACCCUUCUUUGACAGACCUUUAGAACCCAUAACCUUGUGGUGCAAAAGACACUACCAAAAUUCAGUGACACGGCUGAAAUACCCCCACAUUCAUUCAUUUCAACAUAAUCUCCUUACAUAAAUACUGGAUUUUAGGUUUUAAACCAGAAACCCUAGACAUUCAAAUAAUUUUUUAGCAUGACCAAGAAAAACCCAAUUCCCAAAACCCAAAUUGAGGAAUUAAAGAAAUUAAAAAUUCAUUAAAACCCACAAGCUAUUCUAAACACUAAAAAUCUUUAAUUACUCUCAAAUACAGUCAUUAAACGACAACAAAGCAAAACCCAAUUCACCCCAACUGUUUCAGAUCAGAAUUUUUUUUAAAAAAAUCAGAUUUGAUUAAAUUUUACAUAAUUCAAAAAAUAACACAUUUUAUCUCAUAUCAAGGACACAGAAAACUCCAAUUCAUUUGAAUGAAACCCUAGCAUAGCAAUUAAAAGUUUCAUUUUCAUCACACACACACACACACAAAAAAAAGAAGAAGAAGCAAAUGUUAAACUUAUCAAAUUGGCUACACAAAACAAAACCCAGAAAUAAAAACACUUACAACUUAAGCUUCCUUCUCUUUCUCUCAGCCAUAUCCUGCAAAAAAAAAAAAAAAACCUGAAGUUUUUACUGUGUAUUCUCAAAGGGAGUGUGAUAUGAGAUUAUAUAUAAAAGGAAGCACAUAAGCUCAAAGUGAAGUAGUGAAAAUGUGUUAAGGGUGCAAUCAAGUGUGGCUGAUUCCUUCGUAAAAAGGACAAAAGACAGCGAAGCAUGGAUGCCACGUAAUUUAAUUGGUGUUAGGUUGAUUGACUUUGACGACGUGGCGUGUGUUUAAUGGUUUAGUUUAGAUGUGAAAAAAAUAUUGACAGAAGAUCCUAUGGAUUUAUAUGGUAAGCAGAAAGUAACGGCAGAGAAGGCUUUUGCCACCUGGUCAAUGGUUUUUUCACCUCUAAAAUUGAAAAUGUAACGUUUAUUUUGUUUAUUAAUUUCAAAUUGGUCCUUCAAUUUCAUAACAUUUUAAUUACAUUUUACAUCAAUUAAAUCAUUCAAUUGUUAAAAUCGUUAAAUGACAUGUCAAAUCUUAUAACAUAAUUUAACGUGAAAAUUUUAAAGAAAACUCAAAUAUUACUGCAUAACUUUUAUAAGUAAAACUGAAAAAAAAAAGCGAGCAAUAAAACUUUUGUAUCUGCAAAUGAUAGUUUAAACUAAAAAUUAAAUUAUUAUAAUAUAAAUGAACUAAUAAAUUAGACUAAAAUUUACUAUAACAGCCGCACAUCCAAAAAUUCGAAUUUGCUAAUUACUCUAAAUCCUAAAAGUUAAUAAAUAAAUAAAUAAAUAAAUUAUUAAUUUUAUGUCUAGUUUAGCGCCACGUGGCCAGACCUCACGAAGUUGGGCGGGCAACAAUUGGCAACUUUAUAAUUAACUUUAAAAAUUAUGAUGUAAAAAUAAAUAUUUUAUAUUUAAAAUAAUAAAAAUGAUUUAAAAAUAUUAUAUGAAAACAAAUUUAAAAUUUUAUUUAAUUGAAAAUUUAUUUUUUAAGAAAUACUAGUAUAAAAGACUUUGAAAUUUUAUAACAUAAAAAUAAAAUUCAAAAUUAAUAUAAAAAAUAGAUAACUAAACAAAAUUAUCAUGAAGAAUUUGGAAAUCUAUAAUAAAAAACUCAACCAAAUUAAACCGAAACUCAACCCUACCAACAAAUAUUAAUGUCUAGUAAUUUUAUCUCGUGUGUAUGCAUACGAAAAUUAUGAAUUUAGAGCAUUAUAUACGUUUAAAAAUAACAUCCAAUAAAUAAAUAUCAUUUGAAACUACCUAUACAACUAUAUAUAAAAAGAAGGCCUCACAAUGGACACCUGUCCAUUUUUAUCUGUUCUCUUCUUUUUUUUUUGACAUGAGAACCUUAUGGGUAAAUUUCAAUUCCAAUCCCUUUACUUUUUAGAUUAUAAGAAUGGUUAAAUUUCAAUUUUGAUAUUUAUAUUUUGUUCAAAUUUGAAAUUUAAUCUAUAUAUUUUAAUUUUGACAUAAUUUGAUACCUCAACGUUUAUAAUGGCAUUAGUUAAUCUAAUACUUUAUUGCAAUUAAAAUGGUGAUGUGAAUUUUUAAGAAUUUUUAGCACUGUUAAAAUUAUUUAUUAAAUUCAGGUCUAUUACAAUGUUGUUCUUUUGUUACAUGGAUAACAAGUUUAUUGUAUUUUUUUUCAAAAUAUCACACCAACACAAAAGAAUUUUAAGAGAGUUAAUAAAUUGACCUAAAUUUCUAAAUUCAAAACAUAGAGAGACUAAAUUCCUAAAAAUAAAAAUAUGAAAUUUAAAUUCCAAAAAAACAAAGUGUACAAAAACUUUGAGCAAAUUUUAACUUUUAAAUUUUUAGACUAUAAUUUAGUUAAGAAAUAAAUAAUUAAUCCAACGCGGAAUGUGGGUGGAAACCGUACUAGUAAUAGUAACACAUAUGUCUGUUCAAAAAUAAAUAUAAUGCAUAUGCAACAUUGUGAUAUUUUUCUCCUUGAAUUAUGCUAUUUAUGUUCUCAAUUAUAUUAUUUAUACUAAUAUUUUAUUUAUUAUCGAUUUAGGGAAUAAUUGGAGAAAAAAUAGCUUAAAGUUUAUUUUUGGCAAGUUUUUACAGUUUAGGCUUUCAACACAAUGCGGUUUUAGUAUUUUGGCCAUAACUUGAGAUACAAACAUUUGUUUUGGACCCAUAAUAUAUCGAUUCGAAAUGAUUUAAAAGGUCUAGCUAAACUUAUUUCAAAGGUGAAGCCCAAAAAUGUCAAAAGGAUGUCCAAAAUAGCUUGAAAGUUUGACGCAAAAAUUAUCAAAAUAACCUAGAAAAUUAUACUUAUUUAAUUAAGAGCACUUUUAUAUUUUCUCUAUUAUAUAUUUUUUCCUAUAAAUAGAGAUUAUUAGGUUAAGAUUAGGAGAGAUUUAGACCUAGUUGUUCUUAAUUUUAUUUUGUUUCCUUUAUUUUAUGGGUUUUUAAAGCUUUGUAAGAUUUAUUUAUGCUUUAAUUCUUUUUUUUCUUUGACAUUCGUGCAUUUUCUGUUUUAAUUACAAUUGUUUAGGUUUGUUUAAUAGGUGACCAAUAUUCAAUAGCUUGGAAUGGUUGUCGAGUCAAUUAGGAUAAUUAAAUCUGUAAUUGUUUAAUUCAUUCUAAUACUAGUGACAAAUUGAAUAACUUGUUUGUGGACGAUUAUAAGGUGUGUAUGUUUGAUCUAGCUUAAAUGAACCCCGUUGAGGUGAAUUUGUUAGUUGGAAUUAGGUCUCUCUAGUUCAUAAUGUUGCCAGUAAUUAAGUUAAAUAUUGGACGUUAAGCUGUGAGGUUAUUUAUUGGUUAAAGAAGUAAUUUCAAACGAGUUGCUUCUUGGUUACCGAAUAAGUAAAGAUUUAUUUUAUGAUCUCUUUUUACUUUGUUUAAUUUUUAAUUUUAAACCAUUUUACUUAUUUAUUAAAGAAAUAAAACUAUCAUCGAUCUCUAUGGAUAUGACCCUACUUGUCUCUUUCUACUAAUUUAUAUUUUUCAAUUAGAUUUUUAUUUUUUUAGGUCUCGGCAAUCCAACAAUGUACGGAAUAAAAUGAAAAAAAUAGCUUAGAUUGUGAGUAAAAGAAAUUUAGAUAAGCAAAGACAUUAGAUUAAGAAUAUUAAAUAUAUAAAAAUAUUAAAUACACUCUAAUUUUUAUCAUUUAUUUUUACUUUUCCAUAACACGUCAAAAUGUCAUCAUGUUAGUUAAAAGAGAAAUUUAGUAUAAAAAUAAUUAAAAAAUUAUUGUUGGAUAAUAUUUAAUUAUUUAAGAGUUCAACUCCUAAUUAAUUGUUAAAAUACUAUUUAACAUGUUUUAGUAUUUAUUUUUCUAAAAAAAAUUAUCAUGGUAUUGACAUUUUAAUUGAUAUAUACAAGUGGUAAAUUUUAUUAUCAAAAUAAAUUCAUUUAAUUGAAGUUUUUCAAAAGGUAAAAGUACUUAAAAUAAAAAAAAAUUAUAAUAUAAUGAACAAUAUAAGAAAUAAAUAUGUGUAAAUAAUAUUUAUAAAUUAUAAAAAUAGAUGAACAGGUUUUCCUUUUUUCUUCCCAAUUUUAUUCUCUUCUUUGCUCUGCUAAACAGGUUUGCUUUCAAUGGCUAAUUUUAAUUCCUCUUCUUUACCUUCUGUUGUUGUUGUUGCUGCUUGUUCUUUGCUCGAAAAGCCGGUUGCGUUAACGGCAGCUUCAUGUUCAUCGCUGACGUCUUCUAUCGAAGGAGUGCUUGACGACAGUGUGGAAGACGACUGCUAUAUCUGUCUCGAGCCUUUCACUAUACAAGACCCUAUCACUGUAUGAUUCAUUACUCUUUGCUCCUCUUUUGAUUCAACUGUUCUUAUAAUGUCUACUUCACUAAACUUAGCAUUUAUUUCCUUUUCCUCAUACAAUUAAACAAAGCAUAAAAUAAAAUAAAAAUCCCCUUUAUCGUUAAAUUAAGCUCAAAUUAACGUUGCCCACACUAAAUCCAUUCCAAAAUCAGCUAAAAUUAAAAUCUCAAGAACGAAAAAAAAAUGAAAAAACAAAGCAAGGAGCAAAGAAUUGGUGAAAAAGUGGAUGGGUUGAUGAGAAAUAGACCUUUGGGAAAAGGAACGAUGUGGUUUUAUUCGAAACAAAUGCAACCUUGGCAGUUACAGAAACACUUGCAGACGAUGUUAUCGGCAGCGUCUUUGUGCCAUCGCUCGGGAUGACGACCGGGAACAGUUUCAGCACUGGCCCAGCACUUGCUCUUUGCCUUUGAAUCGAAGAAUCUUGGCCUCUCUUCCUCACCAUUGCUACUGCAAGAACAAGGCGAAGGCAAAGAGCUCAUCCUUCCACUGGAGAACGAUUAACGCCGGGGUCGAUGGUGCACAGAUAAAAGACGAUUUGAAGAGAGGUGGUGGAGAGAAGUGUUCUGGUGGUGCCCAAUCGAAGCUUCGUCAGCUGUACUCGAGGCGGUUAGGGUUCAUUCGGGGGAAGAAAAAAAAGGGAAAUUGGGAAGAAGAAAGGAAAAUCGGGAAAAAUAAGAAGAAAAAUGGAUAAAAAUGGAAAUAGAUUUUAAAAACAAUUUUAUUGAUUUUUAAUAUAUUUUUUUAGAUUAUAACAUCAUCAUAAUGUCAUUAACGUCACGUGUCACAAUUUUAUUCUACCACUUAUCUUAAACUUAACGGUGUUACAAAAAGAUACAAAUUUAGUUAACAAAAAGAAAUUUAAGUAUCAACUUGAGAUAAAAUAUUUUAGACUCCACAGGGUCAGGUGAUUGACAAAUGUCCUGUAGGGGUAUGGUAAAAUACUUUAAAAAAUAAAUAUUUUUAAAAAAUGAACCACAUGUUAAUUUUUUAAUGUUACUUAUAGAAUAAAAAAAUAUACUGUUAGUGUCCCAAAUACUCAUCCUUUAAUUAUAACUUUAUUAUUAUUAGAGUUAAUUAGUUAUUAUUUUGAAUAAUAUUACUUGCAUUAAUUAUAUAAAGUAAAACUAUAUUGUAUGUUGAUUAUGUUAAAACUGCUUUAAUUAUGAUCUGAAAAUUUUCUAUUAUAAUAUUUGGAUUGAUAGGUUAAUUAUUUUAAUUAUAUUCAAUAAUUUAAAUAAAAAAUUAUUAAUCUACGUUAAAUAUUACAAUAUUUUAAAAAAUUAAUUAAUUAUUAAACGCAUAAAAUCUCAUGCAACGUAUGUAACAUUAAAAACUGAUAUAUAUAUAUAUAUAUAGGCACAAGUUUAAAAAAUAACUUUUGAAUCGAAGAGAAUACCCUUUAUUUUCUAUCAUAUUAUUAAAUUGACAUUUAAAAAUAUUUAUAAUUUAUAAUUAUUUAUUAAAAAAAGUUGGUGUAUAAAUAAAAUUUGUGAUAUUUAUACAUUUAACAACAAUUAUAAUUUUAUAUAAGUUGUUAUAGUUACACAAUUAAAAAUAAUUAUAUUUUAAUUUACAUUCAUUAUUUAAAAAAAUUAGUUAAAAUAAUUCUAAUUGAAGUAGAAGUUACUUAAAAAAAGUUUUUACAAUUACAAUGAUUUAAAAAAGUUUUUUUUGUAAUUUUUUAUUUUUUACUUGAUAUUUUUUGCUACAUAUUAAUUAUAUUAUUUACAAAUUAAUAUAGUCAAUUUAUUAACUAUAAAGGAAAUAAAAAUAAAAAUUGAAUAGUGAAGAGUUUAUAUUAUAAUAUAUAUAUAUUUUAUUGUUUUUAAAAAUGCUUUAAUGAUAAUAAUUUUUUAUUACUACUAUAUUAGAAUUAUCAAAAUACUUAAUAUAUUUAAAAGAAUUUAUUAGUUAUUAUUUUAAAUAAGGAUUAUAUAAAGUAAAAUUUUGUCCUAUGAUUGAAAUAGUGCAAAUGUUUUAAUUAUGAUUUGAUUUUUUUUAAUAUUAUUAAAAAGUUUAUAUAUCUACAAAAUAUCAAUCUUUUAAUAUAGUAUAUGAAUUUUUUUAUUAUAUUUAAAUUUUUAUAUAAAUUAAUAUAUUUUAAUUAUAUUUAACAAUUCGAGUAAUGAAUUAAAAAAUUAAUUAUAAUAAUUAAAAUUAAACACUUAAAAUCACAUGCAAUAGAUGUGCCAUUAGAAACUAAUUUUUUUAAAAGAAAUCAAAUUAAAGCUCGGUUUGAUUCGAUUUAUACAAAUGGUCCAUUUUAUUGUUUACAAAUAAUAAUAAAAAUUAAAAAUUAAAUUUAUAUGAAUAAUUAGAUGUUUUAUAAUUAAACAUAUAAUUAAUAAAUAAAUUUUAAAUUAUUUAAUUUGAAUUCGGGACGAGAUAAGCUAAUUUGAGAUGAAAAAUAUUUUCCAAAAUCGAUUUAAAAUGAGUCGAGCCAACCUAGCCACACGAGCCACUUGGCUGUUGAAGAGGUUUAUGUUUGAUGAUACGUAAAGAGAAAUUUACUUUCAAGGCAAUAAAAUGAUUUUUUUAUUAACUGAACAGUGAAGGGGUUAGUACACACAUGGUAGAGACUAGAGGUGUUCAUGGCCAAGCCUAUUCAUAAUAUUAAUACACUUUAUGUUUACCUAAAUCCGGUUGGCCCGAAAUAUGGGCCUAAAAUUUUGGCCAAAACUAUCCAUAUUUAUAAAUGGUUAACCCAAACCCAUUUUAAGCUUGGCUGUAUUAUUUUUUUAAAAUACUUAUAUUAUUUUUAUUUAUUAUUUUUUAUAAUCAUAACAUUUUUUAAUAUUUAUAUUAUAGUAUUAUUAUAUAUUACUAUCGAUUUAAUUUGUAUGUGUUAUAAAUUACAUAAUAUAUAAAAAUAACAUAAUAUAAAACAUUAUAAACUUUAAAAAAUGGUUAGGCUGGGCUUGAGCCUUGAAUGUUCAAGCUCAAGCCCAAACUAUAUUUUAAAUGGGCCUAAUUUUUUUUGUCAAAUCCUAUUUUUCGAGCUUAAUCUUUUAAUCCAAACCCUUCUAAAUUUUGGAUGAGUCUUCAGGCUUGGGCUAGUAGCUCGACCCAUUAACAUGUUUAGGUAAGGACAUACUCACACCAUACACGCACACACUACAUCCAAAGGGAUCUACUCAAAUAAAAGCCUACUACUUGCUCCCCGGAGACUCAAAUUCAAGUGAAUUCUAUGCGUGAACAUAUAAUGAUCCGAAAGUUAGUGGUGUCGGAAAAUACGGUUUCGGAAUAGUAUAAGAAAAUUAAAUUUUGGAUAGCUAAUUUAGUUGAACUAGUGUUUAAUUAAGAUACAAGAACUAAAUUGUAAAAGUAGUAAAAGUCCAAUUAUUAUAGGUUUUUAAUUAGAAACAAGGACUAAAGAUUAAAAUGGCAAUUAGACCAGCCUAAUAUUAAUAGUUGACGGUGAGAGGAAGCAUUAUAAAUUAUAUUAUAAAGUUUUUAUUUAAAUAGUUAAAAUUGUAAUAAAAUAUGAUAAAAAAUAUAGAUGUUGGAAAGAAAGAGAAAACAUUUCUCUCUUUUCUUCCUCAAUAGUCAAAACUUAUAAGGAGAAGGAGGAAGUACGUACGACCUAGGGUUGUAAAAUUUUAAAGCUUCAAAUGGUUAGUUCAAUUUAGUCUCUCUUUUUUUUUGUAAUUUUUAUGUUUUUUAGAUCAUGAGAGCUUAAUCUAACUAGCCCAUGUAUCAAUUUGUAAAAUUGUUAAAGUUUUAGAAAGAUGUCAUUGAUGAUUUUUUGAAGUUUUAGGUAUUAGAAUGAUAGAUUUUAAGCUUAGAAGUGAAAAAGGACUAAGUUGUAAAGUUAAUUGAUAGUUUUGUUUAAUAGGAACUAAAAUGAAUAAAUUGUGAAAUUUCUUGUAGAGAUGAGAAAUAGGAGGUCCUAAGUGGACUAUAGUGAAAUCGGAUUAAAAUUUGGAGUUUUAAAUUGAAAGUUAUGUUAGUCUCGAUUUUAGGGACUAAAUUGAACAAAAUGCAAGUUUUUUCUGUAAAUUGACAAUUGAAUCUGAUCUUGAUUAAUUCUUGAUUGCAUUGUAUGUUUAUUUUAAUUUGUAGCUAACGUCGACUUGAAAUCCUCGAAAGAAAAAGAAAAGCUAAAGUCGUUGACGAAUAGCUCGAAGUUCUCGGUUUGUGUUUCUAUAAUUUGAACUAUUUCGAUUGUUGCAUUUCUAUAUUGCUUUGCAUGAUAAGAUUAUGAGGUGAGCUAAAUUUGAUAAAUCGAGUUGAAUUGAUACAGUUUUGAUUUGGUUAGAGAUAUAGAGAGCUAAAUUGAAAAGAAUUGAAAAUAUUGAAUCUUGAUGAAAAUGUGAGAUUGUUCUUGAAUUGAGCUAAUUCGUGAUAUCAUAUAUACGAAAUGAUGAUUGGUUGAUGAAUAAAAAGUGAUGAUGUAUAAAUUGAACUAUAUUCGGAAUUGAAUAAAUUGUUACCCUAUUAACUGUUCGGGUAGAGUUGGAUAUAGUUGGCAUGUCAUAGGAUAGGUAGAGUACGAGUUACUUUGACUAUGUGUCGAUGAGGCAGUGGGUGUCAAAUCACUUCGGUUAUAUCGAUAAGCAUAGGGCGCAAUUUAUAUACUUCAGAUUUGUCCGAUAAGGCAUUGGGUGCUAAUUUGGUGUGAUUGGUAGGAUCCGUGUAUCCGUUCGAGUUUGAGUCAAGUUAAUAGGGAAUUAAAAUGUAAAAUGCGUAAAAGUAUAUGUAUGAACUGAGAUAAUGGAUGAUUUUGAAAAUUGAAUUUAAGUUUGGAAGAACUAAUGUUAUACUAAACAAGUGGAUCAAUUCGAUUGAGAUAUGGAAGAUAAAUAUAUAUGAUACACUUAUAUUAGCUUGAUUUAACAUAAGUGAAAUGAAUUGUAAAACAAAAUGAUGCUCUAUGUCAUAUUUAUUGACAUUGAAUUGAAUUGUAUGGCAUUUGGUUAUGUAAACUUAUUUUAUUUAUGUUGUUUAUAAUGUUCGAAUUACAAAAAUAUCAUUGAGUUUAUACUCAGCGUAUGUUUUAUUUUCUGUGCGCAAAUUAGGUUUUGAUCAUAUUCAUUUUAUCUACAUCAAUAUCUAGCUGAAAUUCCAGACUCAAGUUGGUGAAGUUUCUUUUGUUAGUUAAUGGCAUGUACCUAUUAGGAUCAAUUUAGUAUAAAUUAUGCUUUUUUGCUUGUAUCCAUGUUAUACUAAUGAAGUAUGUUAUGAUCAAGUGAAGGCAUUUUGGUGAAUAGGC